ACGGGGGUACCUAAAAUUAUUUCCUAAUUAGAGCAGUGAUUAACGGGCGUACCUUAAUCAUCGACACAGAAAGGAGGGGUUGACUGUCAUCGCUUGUUUGAUAGUUAUAACCUAUUUAUUGAUAAAUAAUUGAAAUUGUCUUUGCAUCGAUGAUCAAUUAGGUGAAUCAUUGCUGAAGUUAUUUCUUGGCUAGAUCUUUAAUUAAUAUUACCUUGAUUUUAGUGAAUUGCCAUUUGGCUUUUAGUUGCCUACUUUAUUUUAUUUUUAAUUAUUUUAUUGUUUUAAUUGAUUUAGGCCUUUAAUUAUUGUUACUCUGAGUUCAGUGAAUUGUUGUUUAAUUUCUAGUUAGUUAUUUAUUUUUUUUAUUUUUUUAUUUACAUUUAUUUGAUUGUCGUCGUUCCUACAAAAUCACCCCCUGUGUUACUUUGAAUUUCUUAAGAGACAAAUAUACCAAGUCCCUGAGAAUACGACCCUACUUGCCCUGUUUACAAAUUCAUAAUUAUUUGUGAAAAAAACCAUCAUAUUCGGGUAUAUCGGAUCAAGCUAACUCUUAGGAAACAGAGUGAAUCAAAUAACUCAUUGCACACCUAGAGUCCCUGUUUCAGUACUUGGAAUUGGAUUUUGGUCAUUUUAACUGGCAAUUAGGUUUAAUUUUAUUAUUGUACAAGUUUCGACACCCUGUCAGUUUUCAAGAACGUAAUCACACCAAAAAAUUUUAAUUUCGAUCAAUCACAGGGUAGGUUAGACUCAAGUGAUAAAAUCAAGAAAACAAAAAUCAAAAUUUAUUUUUGUUUCUUUUAAAUGAAAAGGCGGAAAGAUCUAUCUUGACCAGGUUAUUGAACAAUAAUUACCUUGUUAGAUCUAAAGAGAACUCGUCUCUAGAAACCUAGUGGAUUGGUUAUUGGUAUGGAACAAUAACUAUCUUACUAGACCUAAAGAGAACCCGUCUCUAUAAAUCUAGUGGAUUGGUUAUUGGUUUGAAAGAAUAAGAUGAUGUGAUCAUCUUGCCUUGAACACCACAAGUAUCCAAGUUAAAUAUUUGAUACUGUUCAAGAAGAAACUUAAGUUCCAUCGAGGAUCUACAUAAAAGGAGACAACUCUCUUUUUACUAAUUUAUCUUCAAUAUCAUUUAUGAAUAGUUAAAUAAAAUUGGUUAUUUAUAGCCUUACAAGACUCAAAACUCUAAUUUAAAUUGGAAACAAUACAAGUUUUCUUAUUUGAUUUGACACAACUUCCUAAAUAAAUUUGGAAGCAAUUAACUACUUUCCUAAAACUCUAAUUCAAUUAUAAUAGGAAACUAACUGACUCAAUUGGCUUAACUAUGGUCAGCCUUUAUUUCCUUUAAUAACUCAAGACUAACUAACAAGUAUUGUUGGAAACUUAUUUAAAUAAAUAACAAGAAAUAAGCAUGACAAAUUUUCAAUGAUUCUUGAACCCGAUUGCACAAUCAACCAUCAAUCGAAUUUUCUUGAAUUUGAAGGGAAUCUAAAUCUUUAUGUUCUCAUCAGAACAAUACCACUGUAAUGAUGAUGAGAACCACACCUCCAGCAACUGAACUAAUAAUCGCGGGCAAAUGCUUGUUUCCUGAUCCACUUCCAUCUGGAAUUGGACCUGGAAAGUUAACCAACUGCAUAAUCUCUACCCCAUUAAGAAAGGCUGUUUGAUUCCUAGAAUCUUGCCGUGGGCCAAUACUUACAUUCAUAAAACCAGAAUCAUCUGAAUGCACCACAAAAUCAAUGUAAAAAGGAACUGCCGUCAUGGCUGCGGUAGUUGAAUCUUGUGGAUCAAUUUUUUGGCUAAAGUUACUAUAAAUAUAGAGAUUGAAUUUCAAUUUCCCGCUACCAGCCUGACUAAUUACGUCACAAAAAUGCACCCGGACUAGAAAUUUGGCAUUUCCAUUUACAUUGAAUCCCCAAGAAACAUUAGAAUUUGUUUUCGGGAGAGUGACACCUUGCUGACUAGGAGCGAUGUUGAGCUCUUUGGCAGUGUUAUAAACAGGGUCAGGAGCAUCAAACUUUGUUGCAGAUCCAGGCUGGUAAUUAGGCGGUGCACUACGAAAUGGAGUGUUAGUGGCUGCAUCCCAGAAGACCAAAUAAUCAUCAUCAGGUAUCCAAUUUCUCCCCAAAGUAUCAGUGUCCGGUGUUACAGUCAAUCCACCAACGCUAAUCCUAUGAACUACUUGUAAAGCAUUGGGCAACAAACCAUUGUAAACUCCUUUGCUUCCAGCAGGAGUUAUGUAAAAAGGAGAAUCCUGAAUGAAGUUAUCAGGAGCAAGAAAUGCUUCUAUAGCAUUAACAAAGGCAAAAGAAGAUGACCCGGAAGGCGUGAAGUAAAUUUGGAAAUUCCCCACAUCGAUACGGAUCAAGAACUCUUUAAUCACAGGUGAUUUACUGGUGCUACUAUUUUGGACGCUGAAGUUGGAUUGGAGUGAAAACUUGGAAGUUGACGCGUCGAAUCUGACAGUAGCAAGAUUAUCUGGAGAAGUGAAAGCAUAGAAGUGAAAACGUACCACGUAAAUGCCAUUCUAGACAAGGUCAAGAUCAUAUGAAGAUUUUUGUCUGAAAAUUCUUGCAGUUUGAUAGAGUGGAGAAGAUGCUGAAUCCGAUGAUUGGUCUUCUUUGGCUAUGUUGCUGUGGCUUGUGGACAAGGUGAAAGAAUCGGGAUUGACGUCGCCGACGAAGUUCCGCCCGUAGACGGUUGUGCUGCCACUUGAGCCACAGUUGAUGAAGUAGCGAUCAGGUACGCUGUAAGCGGAGGUGUUGAUUCCGUUGAACAACAAAAGAUAGCAGCACAAAUUGAAGAGGACAUAAACUGUUUUUGGAGGAUGAAGGAUUUCCAUUGAAUUUUAGUGGAAAUGGAUGAGUUUCAUCAAGAUGGUUUCUUGAGUCAGUACUGUGAAGUCCACGGAAUGGGAAGCCUUAUAGUCUUUAGCUAACUUUUUCUCAUGCGGGUACGAAAUGGAAGAGGACAACACAUCCGCCUGAAGCUGCAUUAAAUUUUAGGGAUAAUUUCAGACCUCCCUUCAAAUUUGAAAAAUUAUAGAAGCCUCCCCCUAAAAAGUAUGUUUUAAUAACAAAUGGUGACGUCAGCACAAAAAAGUACUGCCCCAAUUUGAUUUAACAAACAAAUUAAAUGCAAAAGAAAUCAAAUAUCAGCAUUACUUAUUAAGUAAAAAAAAUUUUGGCAACUCUUCUUUGCAGCAAAAUUUAGGUAAUGUUUCAAGGCAUUAUUUUUAAUGUUUGGAUUUCUUUUUCCUUUUUUUCUAAUAAAUUAUGAAGAAAUUGUUUUUAAUAAAUGCACCCCUACUAAUCAGCUAUUUAUAAAACUAAGUAGAAAAUCCAUUUAAAUGACCUAAGAAUUGAAUACAAUGUAUUACUAGCCGAGAUGGAGUUAAAGCUUUUGGAUAAAGAAAUAUUUCCGAGAUGCGAUUUUCUUUUUCCUUUACACCCACUUUUCACUUAAGAUUUGUAAAACUGUCAAAACUAUUAUAGACUUUUUAUAACACCAACGAAGAUCAGUGUAAUUUUUUAAAUCUCAAGUCAAGAAAAUUGGCUGAAUUGUUAGAAAUCUCAAGAGAAGUUUAUGAAACUAUUUCUAAAAAUUUAAGGAUCCGGAGCCCUUCCAUAUUUGAGUUCUGUCCAAUUGGAUAAAGAGUAAAUCUUAUAUACACUGACGGUAUAUACACCAUCACAAUUGAAUAUACGACGACACAUAUAUAAAAUUUGAGUUUCAAAUCAAAUUCGGAUUAUGUGUCACGUAUCUAACGGUGAAAGUGUAUACACUAUCAGUGUAUAGAAGAUUAAUCCUUGGAUAAACUAACACAAUUUUUUUUAUAUAAACUGAUAUAUUAUUGAUGUAAUCGUGAGUUUUACAUCAACUUCGUUAUAAUUCACGUUAUAUAAAAAAACUUGUAGUAUCAAUUUAUAAAUUCUUAACAAUUCACACAACUAGCUAGACACGAUGGGACCCCUAUGUCCUAUCAAACUUGUGGCGGAAGGUGAGUGAAAGAAACACGACUUUGACUGCGGCAGGCGGGUUGACUUCUAGUCGUCGGAUGAGUACAUAUUAGAGUGCGGAUUCCACUUCCCAGUAGAGAUUAAUAGUUGACGGAGUCCACCACUCACAAGCAUGAAUUCUUAUUUUGAUUUUUUUAGGGCAGUAUUGUUUAAGCAAAAAUCAGGAGUAUCAGAUACAAUAUCCUUUAUUCUGUCUCAAAUUAAGAAACCUUUUUUGAGUGAGAAAAAGGAUUGUAGGCUUUAGGAUUCUUGUGUGCUAGCUCCCUAUGUUGAUGCUUUUUUCUGUUGAAAAAUUUCAAAAGUGUUUGUUUUUUUUUUCUUUUUGAUGGGUGGAAAAGUCAGGAAAUAAUUACCGGAUUGUAUUUUUCUGAAUUUUUUGUAGAAAAAUUUCACAAGUAUGGAAGUAUCUUUAGCUAGGUGCAAGGAGUUCAACUACAAAGAUAAAAAGUAAGAAGGGAAAAGAAAUUUCAAUUGCAAAUUAAAAAAGGGUAAACAACAAAAAAGCCCCCUGUGGUUAAGCAAUCAUAUAUAAAAGCCCCCUGUGAUUUCAUAUCAUACCAGUCGAUACCCCGUGAUUUGAAUUAACGUGAAAAGUGGACGGAAAUCGUCAAAUAUUCGGCGUGUGUCUUAAACGAACUGCAAAGGCGCGUGCAUAUGCGAAAAACAGAUUUCCACCACAAACUUUCACCUGAUAUGCCUACUUUGCCCUUCACUCUUUAAUAAUAAGAGAUCAGCUUCCAAGUCUUCCGACUCUUCAUGUUCGGCCAAAAUUGAAGAUUGAAGGCAGCAUUCGAAGCCUGUGCAAGUAAUCAAUCAAGCAGAGCUUACAGGCUAGCAAAGGAAUUGCAGGAAACAAAGCCUUAAGGUAAAAAUGUAAACUGUAUCUGUAUAUAUUCGGUCUGCAAAUUCUGAAGGAAAAGUGCAGAAAGUACCCCAAGAUGUCUUCCUCAAGCUCUCGACCAACAAGCGGGGGAAAUGGAGGCAGAGGUCUUCGAUACCAGUACAAGGUAUGUAAUUGUCGAAGGAAGGCAAAGCUAAAGAUUGUUGAGAAUCAGGUAAUAAUUUAGUGUGCUUCCAAGUUCACCUAGCAAUAAUUUAGUUAGUUCGGGAAAUGCCUUACUUAUCAGGAAGGACACGUUUCUUACCAGAUGCAGUUUCUUACGGAAAUCAAGGAAACAAGGUUUGCUUUCACAAAGAUAUACAUUACCUAUGUCCAUAUCUUUCAGGUUAUUUCCAUAGUUUAGGAUGGGAUAUGCUUUACAACCUAAAUUGAGGGGCCAUAUAGUAUUGGCAACCAAGACUGAUGUAGCAACAGAAGAGACUGAUUUGCCUGGAGCUGAUAAAGAUACUGGUGAAGUCUCUGAAAGUCCAUUAGAUGCUAUUGAAACAAACGAAGAUUCCUCUGCUAAAUCAGAUGGAAGCUCCAUUACUGCUCGAUCUAAGCGAACAAGACCCGUUAGGAAGAGUGACAUGCCUCCUAUCAGGACUGAGGAUUUGAUUCCUGGUGCAACUUAUGUAACUUGUGAUUUAUUUGUUUGGCAGCUACACGUGAAUUUUUUGGAGUAGCAUGAGAAUCAUUAAAGGUUUCUUUAUUUCUACUCUAACAAUUAGAUUGCAUGGAUCUUGCUUGCAAUUAAAUAGGGCAAGGUGAAUUUGACCUCUUCCAUAUGAUUAUUUGCUCUUUCUUGGGUAUGUAGUUGCCACUGACAUGCACUAUAUUGGAAAUACAAUUUUAUGUAGUGAAAGGGAAGAUAUUAUACAUCUUAUGUUUUUCUUUCCCAGUUUGCAAAAUGUGCGCACUACUUAAAUAAUUUCUUUGAUUUUGCAUGAAGGUUUUAGUACCUUGUCUCUGGUAUUCUGCAAUCUAAAAUUGCAUAUUUCUGUUUGUUCUAAAACAUUUUUGUGGAAAUAGAGUUCGUGCUGCUUUCUGUUUCUUUUGUUUGACUCUGCUGUUUAGCCAUCUGCAUCAACUGAGCUUCUUAGUUAUUUGGGGUAAGUCCAGACAGGGCCCUUGGGGGUAUGGGUUGGGGUGGGUUUUGGGAUAAGACAGACUUUAUCUAAACUUGAUUGGUUUUUGAAGUCUUUGUCUGCAAUUUUCGCUUAUAUCAAAAGGGUAUUUUCGUCUAUUCACUCAGCUCCGUCUGUUUUGACGAUUUCCGUCCACUUUUCAGGUUAAUUCAAACCACGGGGUAUCGACUGAUAUGAUAUGAAACCACGGGAGGCUUUUAUGUAUGAUUGCUUAAUCACAGGGGGCUUUUUUGUUGUUUAUCCAUUAAAAAAUAACUGACAAUAAUCAUCGCAAGAAAAAAAAGCUUGUAAAGGUAUCGAAGGAGAAUUGGACCACUCUUCAAUUGUCAGUUGGCACGUUCAGGCAAGUUGGCGCAAAAAAAAAAUUGAUGAAAUUGCAUUUUUUUUUAAAUCCUCUCACCCGCUCCAACAUCCUUCUUAUUAGGGUUGCAAACGAAUCGAGUCGGGUUGAGUUUUGACCUAAUCGAGUCAAGUCUUAACUUAGUUUUAUCGAACUCGAAUUGGACAAACUACCAAUUUAAAGCUCGAACUCGAAAAAAUAAAAAUAAUUUUUUUAAAAAAAAUAAAUAAUAAAAUAUUAGAAAUAUAUAAUUAUAAUAGUAAAAUAAAAAUAAAAAUAUAUAUACUUGAGUUCAUGAACCAACUCGUAAACUAAUGAGUUUAAUAUUUUUAAACUUAAACUCGAGCUUGAUUUGGUUAGUUUGAGCUCGACUUGAGCACUCAUGAGCCACUCGCGAGCAGUUCGAUUUGUUUGCAACCCUACUUCUUAUUUCUGGCUAUCACGCACAAAAUUUGAACUCUGAACUCGAUGAAAUUGCUUGAGUGAAAGCACAAUUUAAAAAAAGAAAGAAAAAAUCUUUCAAGUGAAGCACAACCAAUGAAAUUUGCACAUGUGCCACUCAAAAUCAUUGGCAAAUGAUAAUGUAGUUGGGCCAAGUCGUAAACCUAUUUAUAUGCUGUCACCAUCCCACUUUAUUUGUUGAUAGUUACUCUGUCGCUAAGUUGUUUCACUGCUCAAAAAGGUAGAAGUGGCCCGUUUGAAUUAUUAUCUUUUAAAAUUUUUAUUAAAAUAUAUUAUAAUAAUCUGAUGUAUCUAAAAUAAAAAAUUAAUUAAUAAAUGCAUUCAUAUAAAAUAUAAAAGUUAUUUUAGAAAAAAAAAGAUUUUUCAAACAUAAGCUUGGGUUAAAAACACCAAACUCUUGGUGACUGCAUAGUGCUUCGUGUGCCUGCAUGGCAUACUGUAGCUAACAAUACAUUCUACCUAACUCACUAAUUGAGAGCAGGUGUGUUUGAUAAAAUUAAAUUCUGAAAAUUAAAAUAUAAAAUCUAGAUUAAUUAAUUUAUUAAAUUGUUAAGUACUAAAUUUGAUAUGUUUAAAUGUAUAUCACAUUAAGUGAUGAAUGAAUAACUUAUCACUUAUUUUUAGGAGGAAGUUUUGCCUAAAAAAUUCGGUUUCAUUAAAUUUAUUCAGAUGUUUAAUUUUUUGUUAUCAAACUAGUCUAAAUAUUUUAAUAUUUGAAUCUAUUAAGCAAGUGCUGAAUUGAACUCGGGAUAAUUUCAAAAAUUGCCCCUGAGUUUGUUUGACAAUUUCACUAGCCUUACACAAACCUCCUCUGAGGUUAAGAUUUUGAUAACAAAUUAGUCCAAUUAAAAAAAAGGUAACAUUAAAAAAGUACUUUAAGGAGAGAGAUGUAACUUUUAUUCUAUCAAUACCCCUUAUGCAUGUACAUAAGUCGUAUUAGUAAAAGAAUAAAAAUAAUUACAAGUUAGAAACAAUUAAUACACACAUUUAACCACUCAAAAAGUUCACAUUUAAUAGAUUAGACAAUACAGAUAAGUAACAAAACUACACUAAUGAUUACAAGAUUUAACAAAAUAGACUAGUCAUCGCUUUUAAUAAUGAUUCUUGUAAUUUUGAGCUGAAAAAUUUUCGAAUUUUACCUUUCUUUUCCCUCCUUUCAGUUUUCUUUGAAACUCUUAAAGUUGUGAUAAUUGUAAAGUAAUUUUAUGAAAAUAAAGGAAAUGAUUGUAAAGUAAUUUCAUGGAAAUAAGGGAGAAAGAAGAGAAAAAAAAGAUAAAAUUUGAAAAUUUUUCUAUUCAAAAUCACAGGAAUCAUAGCAAACAUUAAGUUAAAAGAGAUGACUAGUUUGUUUUACUGAAUUUUGUAAUCAUUAGUGUAGUUUUGUUACUUAUCUGUAUUGUCUAAUUUAUUAGGAGAGAAAAGAAAGACAAAAUUUGAAAAUUUUUCUGUUCAAAAUCACAAGAAUCAUAGCAAACAUUAAGUUAAAAGAGAAGACUAAUUUGUUUUACUGAAUUUUGUAAUCAUUAGUGUAGUUUUGUUACUUAUUUGUGUUAUCUAAUUUAUUAAAUGUGAACUUUUUGAGUGGUUAAAUAUGUGUAUUAAUUGUUUCUAACUUUUAAUUAUUUUUAUUCUUUUACUAAUGCGACUUAUAUACAUGCAUAACGGGUAUUUAUAGAAUAAAAGUUUCAUCUCUCUCCUUAAAAUACUUUUUUAAUGUUAGUUUUUUUAAUUGGACUGACUUUAUUAUCAAAACCUUAAUCUCAAGAGUGGUUUGUGUAAUUUUACAAACUUCAGGAGAGACUAGCGAAAUUGUCAAGAAUCUCAGGAGAGGUUUCUGAAAUUAUCCCAUUGAACUAUCAAACAUGGCCUAAAAUACAAAUACAAAAUCCUACCACGAGAAGGGAUUCUUUCUUGGCUUUUUGAAGCUUCAUAUAUUACAUCCACAGAUUUCCUUUCCCUUAUUCUUAAACUUAUUUAAGUACUAGUUGAAUGGGCAUCACAUCUCGUGUGAGGCUGCACAGAUUACGAGUUCGGUAAAGUUUUUUGACUUGCACAAUUAUAUGUAUUUUAGCAAACUCGUCAGUUUUAAAUGGAAGAAACAAAUAAAGCAUAAUGAACUUAAUAAUGUCAUAUUUGAUUUCAAGAUUCUGCAAGUUCUGGACAUUGAAACUUUGUUGUCAUAACUAAUCAAACCUUAAUGUAGUUGAUGAGGUUUGGUGUGAAAAUAAGGUAAAUAUGACAUAUGGCAUAAGGUGCUUUAGUCCAUAAAAAGUUGAAAAAACAAAUGAAGACACGCUAUUGCGACGUUUCAGAAGUCUUUAAUUCAUUCCGAGAAUUUCCAUGGCUUUUGCCACUUCCAUUUGAACUGUAAUAGUCAUUGAUGGCCUAACUCUCUCCAAUUGAAGAAUUAGCAAUGCUUGAAUGUUGAUAUCAGCCUGUACAUUUCCUUUUGCUCAUGAUGAUAUCAGUAGGCACUACUGAUGUCUUGUUUGCUCAAGGACUGCCACAAAUAGAAAGGGCGACAAGCAUAGAUAUAUAACUCUACUAAUGAUCACGAGAAUAGGACAGAUAAAGAAGGAAAGCAGUGAAAAGCAGCAGAUGAGUUGUGAAUAGCUGAGCUGCAUUUCAAUCUUGUUAAAGCAAGGUAGAAGCUUCAUCAAAAGGUCUUGAAAGAUCAGAUUUGUGGUUGACCAAUAUGUCACAAUAGGUUUCUAUACAAAUACAGCAAACUGGCAGUCAAGAAUUCAAACAACAUCUACAUAUAUAUGUGUAGUGAAAAGUAAGUUAGACCUAGACAAGUACAUACUUACAGGGCAGAGAGAGCCAUCACCAUCCUCCAACUACAAGUAUUUGUACAAGUAUUUUAUGAUUUUAUGCAUACAAUCACAAUGACAGGUUGUCGAUGCAUGUGCAAUAAUAAUAAUGAAAAUCCUAGUUGUCAACAAAAGCAGUUUCGUGUCAAUUCUAAUACUGGAGUAGGGAUUCUGGAUGUGCAAUGGGUUACUAGAUUCACCCUAACUCCGAAGAGUUUGCUAAAUCUGAUAUAUCAGAAUUUAUUCACGAGAACUUGUUAAUUUGUAUAUAGGGCAAGUAGGGUCGAAUCCACAGGGAUUGGGAGUAAUUCGUUUCUACUAAAGUUCAAGUUAUGGAGGGAUUUUAGGGAAAUUAACAAUAAACUAUGCUAAUCGAAUAUUGCAAUUAACUAAAAAUUAAAUAGCAGACUAUAAAAACUCAAAUAGUAUUGGACAGCUCCAGUCAAGAAAUAACUUCGACAAUGGUUCACCUGAUUGAUUCUCGAUGCAAAGGUAAUUCCAAUUAUUAACUAAUAAAUAUGUUAUAACUGUCAAACAAGCGAUGACAGUCAACUCCUCCUUACUGUGUCGAUGAUUGAGGUACGCCUGUCAAUCACUACUUUAAUUGAGAUAUAAUCUCAGGUACGCCCGUGAGAUUUAAUUCCCCAAUUGCUUUACGUAUUAGAGUAGUUCUAUUCUAACCAAAUAACACACUACCAGGGUUAUUUUAAAUUAGCCUACGUAUUCCCCUAAUAUGAAUCUAAUCAUGCCAGUUACCACUAUUUUAGAGCAAUUGAACAAUUACGGAUUUAACGCUCCAAUUGACAUUAGGUUGCUAAAUUAAUUCAACAUCCGGGCCCAGGAUAUUUAACUAACAAAAAAAUCAUAAGCACUAUAAACAUAGAGUAUGCAAAUACCAGCAAAUAAAAGAAAUAAAUGAAAUUAGUUCGAUCUCACAAUUUUUAGAUGAGCCGAACCAUCCGUUGUUCCUUGACUAGAAAAAGAGAUUAGUUCAUCUCCGUUGAGAAAAAUCCACACAAAAUUCUAGAAUUAAUUGUUGCAUACAUCGUCUCUCAAUUGAGAGGAGCAAUCCGAUGGAAUAAGUCACAAAAAUAAGAUUCAAAAGUCAAAAUCCAAAGUAGUCAAGAAUGUUUGCUACUUUUUUCCAAUUCCUAUCUAUUCCCUACCUAAUUGUCUAUUCCUACAUGGCUACUCCAAUGAGUAAUAGGAAAAGAGAGUCCUGAUCUCAAUUGACUUCUAUCUUCUAUUCAACCGAAGCCAAAAAAGUAGGAAGUCUCCUAAUUGGCCCGUUUCCUGUUUUUGCUAAACUAUUUUUUCCAAUUCAAAUCUAACAAUCAACUAAUAGAAUAUUUGCGGUCCCACGUUGUACUUCCAAUUGGCAAUUGGUGUCUCGCGCCUGUCCCGCAUUUUCUGGACACGUUAAGAUCUGACUUGACGCGCCUACUCCAAAUAGCAAUUGUAGUGGAGAAUUUGCACCUUUUAUCACAUUUUAUUCCAACUCCCUGCAAUCAAUACAAAUUUCCAAAAGUGAGUAGAAUCCGUCAAUUAAUGCACAUUCAGUAAGAUAAUAGGAGGUAAUUAAUUAUAAAAUAGAUGAUAAAAGUGUGAUUUAUCAAUUCCCCCCACACCUAAACCAUGCUUGUUCUCAAGCAUGAGAACAACAAAUACACACCAAUUCCUGAUAAUGGCUAUCAAUCCAUCUACCUUAUUGCCAAGAUACCAAGAAAAACACCUAUCAAGCAUUAAUGGUCAAAGUCCAAAAAACAUCACUUCAGUUAGCUUCUAAACCGUAGACUCUCCCAAUUUAUGGCUAACUAUUCUAAGAAAAAUGAAUGGUCGAUCAACAUUUAUCAGUAAAUGGUCCAAUUAUUAACCAAAAUCUCAACAUUAAAUCCAUAAAUUGGCAAACUGACUUUAAUCACAUAUUGACACAACUUUCACACCAUUUUAUCACGCUUUCCUUUUUUUCUUUGUUUUUUUUCUUUUCAAUAGUAAUAAUAAACUUAGUCUCCAACUACUAGAGUCUUUUGACGCAAACUCCAACAUUUGUCAGAUGAAGGAAUCAGGUUACUCAGCUCCUAUCGCUACACGAUCACGUAUUCAUAGGUAUUACUAUUUUUUGACACGAGAAUCGACAUUUUUGGUGAAAAUUCCCGAUUAUUCAACAGUAAUAACUAGCGGAGUACAACCAACUUUUAUUCAAAGUCAGACAACAAAAUAACUCAAAGUAUCACAUAAAAUAGCAGCAACUAACCUCAUUUUUUCAAAUAUGGAAAAUUAAAGUUAAUAACUGGACCAAUUCACAUGAAAAUGCCAACCAGUUAUUCCCUAUGCCCAGAAAAGUUAACCAAAAAAUUGUAAGAGUCACAAAAGCAUCGAUAUUUACCAAAGAAAUAUUUUUUGAAUCUAACCAAAUUAGAUUGAUACACUUUUAUUACUAAAACUUGACAAUAGGCAGAAUUAAAGUCAACAACCAUUAUCAAUCCUUGGUAGUUCCAGAAGUGCUGAUCACUAAUAAAAGUAAAAAGAAAAGAAAAGAAAAACAGAACAAAUAACAAGAAAUAAGGAAAAAUAUCUAAAAACUAAAAAUACUAGCUAUACCACAGCUCCCCCCCACGCUUAAAUCCGACAUUGUUCUCAAUGGAGGUAAUAGAACAAAUAAAGCAAAAAGGAUAAUGAAACUUCCCCGAAUGCAUGGUGGAGGGUCUCGAUCGGCUAUGGGAUAGGUGGAAAUGGCGGUCGAGUGAAGAGGGCGAUGAGCGGCGGUGAUGCUUUAGUGGUGUGCCUAGGAUGUCUCAAAAGAGAGAGAGGGACGUGGCGGCCACAAUGAGGGAGGCACGCGAGGGGAGCGGCGGACGGCGAUGCGCGACGUGGAAGGCGGCGGCAGACUAGGUGGUGACAGGCGUGGUUCGCGAGAGAAAGAGAGUGAGUAAGGAAGUGGCGGCACGAGGAGAUAGGCGGCGCUUCGUGGGUUUCGACCGAGAGAGAACCAGGGGAAAUAGGGGAGAAAGAAAGGAAGAAAAGAGAAAGAAAAAAAAAGUUUUGAUUUUUUUUAAAAUUUUGAAUUUAGAUUUUAAAAUUUGAAAUUUAAAAAUUAAAUUUUAAGGUGAAACGAAAAAAGUGUAAAAUUUCUUUUUACUUUAAAAAUACAUACAUUUCCCUCGAACAUGACAUGGGCACGUCAAUAAGGCAAGAACCCUUUUAAUGAAUGUCCGUUGAAUUCAAAGUUACCACGUGUUCGGUUGAUGCGAGAGCGUCGUGAGGGUGGAAAUUCUUGUGAUGAAAACUCUGAGGAUUGUUGAUUAACAUGCGCCCUGGUGACACGGGCGCGUCGUGAGGGUGGAAACCCUUUUGAUGAGGACUCUGAGUAUUGACGGCGAGAACUCUUUUGAUGAAGAGUCGUUGAAUUAAAAGUUACCACGCGCCCGGUUGAUGCAGGCGCGUCAUGUCGGUCAGUCUGCUCCAAGAUCAAAGGAAGAGCUUUCCAGGUGACUUGACGCGGGCACAUCAUGAGGGUGAAAACCCUUCUGAUGGAGCAUCUGGGAAUUGCACGUUACCACGCGCCCUAUUGACGCGAGUGCAUUAUGUCAGGGGGAUACCUACUAAUCAUAAAAAAAAUAAAAAAUUAAACCAGAAAUCUGGCAAACUCUAUGAAAUCAUACUGAAUCUAUCAAAUAAAACUGAACAAACAACAAAAAGAAAUUGGAUUGCCUCCCAAUAAGCAUCUUUUUUUAACGUCUUUGGCUAGACGUUAAGCACCACUUCUCAAUCUUGAUGUAAUACAAAUUUUUUUUGCAAUCGAUGGCAUUCCUCCAAGAUCCAAAUAGUUAUUGAGUGCAACUAUCUUCUUCAAUUUUCUACUCAUUGUUACCUCACAAAAUGCUUUCAUUCCAUGAUACUUAUUUGUAGCAAAUUUGCAUUUACCCCUAUAAUCAAACUCAGAAAAUUUUUGCCUAGAAGGGUUAGUAGCAUGAAUGACAAAUACAGAAUGAAAGUUAAUAGGAUGUUUCAUUGUAUAAAAAAUAUUAAAGUAGACUAUUUCUCUAUUAAAUUCCAUUGUGAGAGUACCCUUACUGACAUCAAUCUUAGUUUGGGCAGUACUCAAGAAGGGUCUUGCUAAUAUAAUAGGGCUAGAUUUGAAGCACUUCUAUCAUCCAUAUAAAGCACGUAAAAAUCAGUAGAAAAAAUUAAUUCAUCUACUUGCACUAAAACAUCCUCAAUUACCCCAUCCGGAUAAAGCAAAUAUACGAUCAGCCAAUUGAAUUAUUAUCCCCGUUUCUUUCAAAGGUCCUAAAUUUAGGGAAUCAUAGAUUAAUUUGGGCAUCACGUUAAUAGAAUCCCCUAAAUCUAGCAUGACAUUUUUUAUAUUAGAAUGUCCAAUCUUACAUAGAAUAGUAAACAUAUCUGGAUCCCCACAUUGAGGUGGUAGUUUCCUUUGUAAAAUCGCUGAAAUGUUCUCACCUACCACAAUUUGCUCAUCCCUCCUCAACUUAUUCUUGUUGGCGCACAAGUUUUUCAAGAAUUUAGCAUAUUUCGGUACUUGUCUGAUUGCGUCCAACAAAGGGAUAUUGAUUGCCACCUUUCGAAACACCUCUAAAUUCUCUUUUUCCUUAACUUGUUUCUUUGGUUUCUUUAACCAGUUCGGAAAAGGCGAUGAGUUAGUUCUAACCUCAAUGAUUGGGUCAGGGAGUACCGCUGACUUUUUGCUGCCCUUACUCUCCUCCCUAAGUUCUUUCUUGAUCUUUUCUUCAUUCUUGUCCUUUGGAGUCACAAGUUCGAGUCCCUGAAUUUCUUUUCCGUUCCUUAAGAUCAUUGCACUUACGUUCUUCGGGUUUAGUUCAGGUUGAAACGAUAAUUUUUCGUGAACUUGGGAUUCCAGGCGGUUGAUUGCUAUUACCAUCUGACUCAUCUGACUUUGUAUUGCUUGCAUCUGUCUCAUUUGAUUCCUUAUAUUCAUUAGGUCAGAAUCCGUCUUUUGUUGAUUAGCAAUUAACUGCUUUAUUAUUUCUUCUAGAGACGGGCUAAAGCUUGUAGGAGGUGGUGGCUGCCGAGGUUCGUAUUGCUGUUGAUACCCUUACUGUCCAUUUGGUGCAAAAUUUGAUUGUCUAUUUCCUCCAUAACUAAAGUUAGAGUGAUCUCUCUAACUCGGAUUGUACAUGUUCGAAUACGGAUCAUAUGGCUUUCUUGGUGCGGCGCGUGACCAGCCAUGUUUACUUGCUUCACACUUUUUUCUUAAAUCAUUGGGCACAUCUCUGUAGAGUGACCCACAGCAGUGCAAAUCCCACACACCUUGGCUUGUGAAGCAUUUCUCACAACCAAUUACCUAAUAAAUGAUGUCAACUCAGUCAACUGUUGUUGGAUAGAGAAUGUCUCUAUCUUAUUCACUCUGUGCAUCGAGACAUCCUUUCUUUUAUCGAAUUGUUGCGAGUUCUCAGCCAUCCCUUCAAUCAACUCCCACGCUUCUCGAGAAGUCUUGUUCACCAGCGCCCCUCCACUUGCAGCAUCAACAAUACUCCUGUCUUUGAAAAGUAACCCCUCGUAAAAGUAUUGGAUGAACAAUUGGUCACUUAUUUUAUGCUAAGGGCGUUUGAUGCAUAACUUUUUGAAUCUUUUACAGUAAUCAUAGAGCGACUCUCCUGGGUGUUGCUUGAUACCGCAUAUCUCUUUCCUUAGACUUGCAGCUCGGAAAGCUGAAAAAUAUUUUUUCAAGAAUUUUUUUUUCAGUUGCUCCCAAGUGGUGAUACUACCUGGAGGUAGGUAAUACAAUCAGUUUUUUGCUGCGUCCUUGAGAAAGAAGGGGAACGCCCUCAUUUUUAUUUAUUUUUCCGUAAUUCUCGGGGGUUUCAUACUGUUACAAACAACAUCGAACUCUUACAAGUGCUUAUGAGACUCUUCACCUGACAAAUCAUGAAAAGAUGGUAAAAAAUGAAUUAAACCAGAUUUUAACUCAAACGGGAUAUUAUCAUUUAAACUCAAAAAAGUAAUGCAUAAGGGCUGCUGAUUUAAAUUAGGAGCAGCCAACUCCCUCAAUGUCUGUGCAUUAGUCAUAGUGACUUCUUCUCGAUCUAGGUCACUCGAAGUAUCACCAAGCGAAUUUGUUGAUUCAACCUCUGGAUCAAGUCUCUGAGAUGCAGUACUAGAUUACUCUUCUCUAAGUUAUCUGGUCUCUUUCCUUGUUUUACGUGCAGUCUUCUUUACUUCAGGGUCAAAAAUCAAUUCGCCUGUACGAGAAGAUCGAGGCAUAAAUUAGAAAAAUAUCAAAAAAUUAAUACGAAAAUGAACUUAAAAAAAAAGAAAUGAAUUAACUAACGCCAGUUCCCGACAACGGCACCAAAAAUUGACAGGUUGUUGAUACUUAUGCAAUAAUAAUAAUGAAAAUCCUAAUUGCCAACAAAAGUUGUUUCACAUCAAUUCUAGUAGUGGAGCAGGGACUCUGGAUGUACAAUGAGUUACUAGAUUCACCAUGGUUCCGAAGAGUUUACUAAAUCCGAUAUACCAGAAUUUAUUCACGAGAACUUGUUAACUUUUAUAUAGGGCAAGUAAGGUCAAAUUCAUAGGGAUUGGGAGUAAUUCGAUUCUACUAAAGUUCAAGUUAUGGGGAAAUUUUGGGGAAAUUAAUAAUAAGCUAUGCUAAUUGAAUAUUACACUUAACUAAAAAUUAAAUAGUAGACUGUAAAAACUCAAAUAGUAUUGGACAACUCUAGUCAAGAAAUAAUUUCGGCAAUGGUUCACCUGAUUGAUCCUCGAUGCAAAAGUAAUUCCAAUUAUUAACUAAUAAAUAUAUUAUAACUGUCAAACAAGCGAUGACAGUCAACUCCUCCUUACUAUGUCGAUGACUGAGGUACGCCGGUCAAUCAAUACUCUAAUUGAGAUAUAAUCUCAGGUACGCCUGUGAGAUUUAAUUUUUCAAUUGUCUUACGUAUUAGAGGAGCCCUAUUCUAACCAAAUAACAUACUACCAGGGUUAUUUUAGAUUAGCCUGCAUAUUCUCCUGACACGAAUCUAAUCAUGCCAAUUGCCACUAUUUUAGAGUAAUUGAACAAUUACGGAUUCAAUGCUCUAAUUGACAUUAGGUUGCUAAAUUAAUUCAACAUCCGGACCUAGGAUAUUUAACUAACAAAAUAACCAUAAGCACUAUAAACAGAGAGUAUAUAAAUACUGGUAAAUAAGAGAAAUAAAUGAAAUUAGUUCGAUCUCACAAUUUUUAGAUGAACCGAAACCUUCGUUGUUUCUUGACUAGAACCGUUGAGGGAAAUUCACGCAAAAUUCUAGAAUUAAUUGUUGCAUACAUCGUCUCUCAAUUGAGAGGAGCAAUCCGAUGGAAUAAGUCACAAGAAUAAGAUGCAAAAGUCAAAAUCCAAAGUAGUCAAGAAUGUCUGCUACUUUUUUCCAAUUCCUAUCUAUUCCCUACCUAAUUGUCUACUCCUAUAUGGCUACUCCAAUGAGUAAUAGGAAAAGAGAGUCCUAAUCUCAAUUGAUUUUUGUCUCCUAUUCAACCGAAGCCAAAAAAGUAGGAAGUCUCCUAAUUGGCCCGUUUCCUGUUUUUGCUAAACUAUCUUUUCCAAUUCAAAUCUAACAAUCAGCUAAUGGAAUAUUUGCGGUCCCACGUUGUACUUCCAAUUGGCAAUUGCAGUCUCGAGUCUGUCCCGCAUUUUCUGGACACGUUAAGGUCUGACUUGAAGUGCCUACGCCAAAUAGCAAUUGUAGUAGAGAAUAUGUAUCUUUUUACCACAUUUUAUUCCAACUCUCUGCAAUCAAUACAAAUUUCCAAAAGUGAGUAGAAUCCGCCAAUUAAUGCACAUUCGGUAAAAUAAUAGGAGGGAAUUAAUUAUAAAAUAGACGACAAAAGUGCGACUUAUCACACAACAUUUUGGCACAUAUGUUUUUGUCAUUUCAGGUGAAGAUGUAUGAAUUUUAAUCUUGGGAAGAAAAUGAUGUAUUAUGGAUAUAUUAGGGACAAAAUCCCUAUUUUAAAAUAAGGAACUUAAAAUGUAAAAAACCUCAUAUAUGAGAGACUAAAAAUGUGAUGAGAAGGUCUUGGUAUAGUGACUAAAAUUUAGUGUUCAUGACUUAAAAGGUGUUAGUUUCAAAUCUUCUUUCUCUUUCCCUACCUCUUAAAUUCUACCCAUCUAUAAAAUUUUUUUUUUUUUGAAGAAAAAAGACCAAAUUACAUCGCUCAAAGCUGGUAUGAAGCUUAAAUGUGAGGCCCUAUUUUAACAAUUUUCCUUUUGAAGCUACAAGAUUCAAAAUUUUAAAGUUGAUGGAAAUAAUAGUUGCUUGUAACCCAAGGAUUAAAACACAGUUCAUAUUUAGGCGUAAGCAUAUGGAAAUGUUAUUUAACAUGUAUGCAAGGCUGCAAGCUUACUUAGUACAUCACCCAUCCCACAAAGAGAGAGAUUAAGAAAAAUUGUGCAAAGGAACUUCCAAUUUCCAAGGCCAAGCCAACUUACCUAGAGAGUUACAUUUUUACUAGUACAUUUUUUCUACUUUGAACUCUUAGAACACAUGGUAAAUCUCCUAUAAAGUUCAUACGUUAUCACUGAUCUACUAAAUUGUCUAUGGUGUAACAUACAAAAUUUUAAACCUUUUCUGACAAAAUAACUAUAGGCCCACCAUUUGUAUUGUGCCCCCUUAGGACAAGAACAGAAGUUAGAAGAACCCUUUUUACCAAGCCAAUUAAGAUUGGCAAUACUAAUCAGAGUUUAAAAUCAGAACAACCAGCAGUGGAAGUUUUUGAUGAAUAGUGAUACCAUUGACUUCACACAUGUCCAAUUCCUCACGUUUAGCUCCAUCAGGCAAUUCAAAAUCGAACUUGUGCACUAAUUUUGCUAAUGCAGGCUCAUUGAUAGCCAAAGCAAAAACUGAUAACUGGGCAACCCCUUCUGCCAGCACCAAAUGGAAUCAAUUUGAAGUUAAAACCUCGAAAAUGACAUCACUAUUCAAGAAUCUCUUUGGCUGAAUCCCUCAGGAUUAUCCCAAAACGUUUGAAUCUCUUCCAAUUGCCAAGCAUUCACGAGUACUUGUGUGCCUGCUGAACUAUCAUACCCCAUUACUUUGGCAUCUUGAGUUGAUUCUCUGGCAAGUAGUAACGGAACAGGUGCAUGAAGUCUUAGAACGUCCUUUAUCACUGCUUUUAGGCAUUGCAUUUUGUCUAAAUCAUCUUCAGUGAUUUCUGAUUUUACAUUUGCUUUCUGUCUUACCUCAUUCUGCAACUGCAUCAAGAUUUUGGGAUGCCUCGGGAGUUCAGCCAUUGCCCACUCCAUAAUUGUAUGUGUUGUGUCAGUUCCACCUUCAAACAUGUCCUAAUCAAGGAGACAUAAGUGAUUUAAGUCACAAAAUUCAGAAUAUUAAUGGCCUUAUUACAGAUCAUCUCUUUAAUUAGAGUUAUAUUAUGCUGAUUUAUCAUAACAAGCAUAUGAAAAAAAUUGAAAUUAUCAUACCAAACCAUCAGCUAAUCUAAUGCUUAAUUAAUUAGCAAUGUGUUCUUUUCAAUCAACAAUUCCUAGGUUGAAAGAAAAAUAUUACUCUUUUGAAAGUAAAUCCAAGAAAAAAUUGGACACUGAGAGGCAACCAUGGAGAUCAAGGGCUUCUGCAAUUGCCACUGGUUAUUAAACGGUCCAGUUUGUAAUCUAGAUUGGUCACAUCAAUUCAGUCUGAUCUGUGCAAUUUAUUUCAAAUUCGAAAUCAAGUUGACCCUGUCCAGGCCAUAAACUGUUCUGCCAAUUGCACAGAAACCAAGUCCUGGCCAGAGAGUCUUACCAAAAUGACAGCUUUGAUAGAAUCAUGCUCAAUGGCAAACAACUUUUCCCUCUGUAUCUGAAGCAAAAUGUCCAGAGAGUGUGAGCAGGUUGUCUCAGUAGUAUUAGCAACAGCCUUGUUCCUGUGCUCUUCAAUUACUCCCUCUAUGAAUUGAUCAAUCUGAUUAACCACUCUUUUCACUCUAGCAUCCAAACCAUUGAAACGAUUUAGCCAUGCAAGCCAAGGAACAUAGUCCCUUGUAUACCCCUAAUAUCUGAAUGAAUUCUGCUAAAGUAUCCUUAGCUUUCCUCCCAUGUUCUCCAUCACCAUACUUCCUCCCCAGGGCAACCCUACAAACUACAUCAUUCGUAAGAGUUGCGAAUAAGUCACUCAAGUUUAUCAGGCAAUUUGAUGAAGAAGAUAAGCAUUCUUACUUGAUCUUUCCAAUCACAAGUGAAGUCUCUUCUUCUCGAACACGUCGAAAUGAUUGAACCAUUUUGUUACUUAAAAGUUGAUGCACAAGAAUGCUUCUAAGUUGCCUCCAAUACUCUCCAUAAGGAGAAAAUGCUACAUCCUUGGAGCCAUAGAAGAGUCUACGAGCUAUACUUAAUCUUUGCCUGUUUGAAAAAACUUGGUCAUGGUUUUUCAUGCUUUCUGAAGCUGCACUGGCUGAAGAGGCCACAAGGAUUGGCUUGUUGCCAAAAUGAAGCAGCAUCACUGGACCAUAUUUCUUUGAUAGAGAUUGCAUGGAUCGGUGAGGAAGCAAGCCAAGUUGAUGAAGAUUUCCAACAACAGGGAGCAUUGAUGGAGAUGGUGGCAGAUUCUUUUGGGGUUUUGAUGAAGAAGUGAACCAUUUUAUUAGGGAGAUAAAGAAUAGAACAAAAGGAAUAAGAGAGAUAAUGGAUACUAUAUUGUACUAUUCUUGAAUGGAAAAACAUAACUAAGUUUUGGAAUUGAAUUCUGUCAUGCUCUCAAUUUAUAGAAUUGCUAGCUCCUUGAACUUUAGUUCAUAGAGAAUAUUCUUGGUGCUAAACGAUAUGAAUUGGCUUUCCCUGGUACCUUUUUGUGUUUUCUUGAAUCAUACUCGAAAUGUUCAACCAGAAUUAAAAAAAAAAAAACUAAUGUUUUUAUAUCAGCUCUGAUAAUUAGUGAUCCAUUUCAUGCAUGUAGCAAAAGAUCACUUGCAAUUUUUCCCUUAAUUUGAUGAAAUUUUCAUAUUAGUGUUGUCAAGUCCGGUUCCUAUGUUCUAAUUCAUCGAUAAACUGAUAAAGUUGAUGGAAUUCAGUGCACAAAAUCAAUGUGCAGAUUAGCUUGGUCCAUGAAUCUAUGCCUUUGGUGCCCAUCAAGAAAGUUAUUCAUAGCAUUUGCUCUACCCUGUUAAUAUGGUCCAUAAACUAGUCAGAAGAAAGGACAUGUGAUUUGAUCAUAUUAAUCACCCCACCUAAUUGUUAUAUAAUCUAUGGGCCAUUAAGAAUUAACUCACCCAAAGAAAAUCACUACAACCAACAUUUUUCCAUCCACUAGGCAUAAUAGGCAAUAGAAAACCUAUAGACACAUUCCAAUUUGUUUCUUCCCAAUUUUUAAUGAGUUUUUUUUUUUUGAAUUAUUAAAAGAUACUGCAAUAGGAGCAUUAUUAAUUUCAUUCCAUGAAAGGCAUACCUAUAUGGUUUUUAUUCCAUUAUGUCAAUUUUUUCUAAAGGAAAAUUUUCUUAGAUAAAGCAAUAUUGCUAAAAUAAAACAUUAAACUUAGGAUUGCUUAAACAAUCCCAAAAACCAUUGACACUCUAAUUUGAUGAUAUAUAUCGUAGUCAGUGAACCUUUUAUUAAAGCUAUUUUGGCCAUGAAUCUAAAUUCUUGAGUUCUAGAAUUCCCUCUUUAACAAUAGCAUAGAUACAUAGAUUUGCUAUCCGUUCCUUACUCUGAGAGAUACAUUAAUUCUAAGAGGAGGAGGGGAGGAUUUAAACUUAAAGAGUUCUAAUUCUUAAAAUCCCAACCUUAAUUAUUAGACUAAUAAUUUUGCUUCUAUUUCUUUCAAAUGAACAAAAAAUAAUCCCUACUUCAAUUACUAAUAAUAACUGGGUUUACCAUUAUCCGCAACUUCAAAAGUUGGGGACAAUGGUGAUUCUACAAAUAUAUAACUACUUGAACAAUGGGGACGAUGGUUAGAUUGGUAAUAAGAUAAGAGGAGUUGUAAGUAGAAGUUCUUGAAUUCAAAACUUUCCGCUUAUCCAAACAAAAAAAAAUCACUCGAACAAUGCAUGUGUCAAAUUUAACUAAGAAGCACGUGCACUAAUAUUAUUGGAUCAGCUCAAUUUUCUAUCGGCUUUAGUCUAUGAAACCCAUAAAAGCCCAUUUGUAAAAGUACUCAGUAACUCCUAUAGUAACUCAGUAAUAGGCUUACUUAGUAAAAACCUCACAAACUCUCCACUAUAGACAGCCAAAUUAUAAUGUCAGUUAAUUCAUUCCAUAUUCUCCUUGUACAAUUUAUCACAUUUAUUUUUGGGUAAAUUAUAAAUAACCUCCUUGUAGUUUUAGUUAUUGUCACAUGAUAUCCCUAAUAUUUCAAAAUAUUCACUUUACCCCCUAUAAUUUUAUAUAAAGUGGAAACUUAACAAAAAAUACCCUAUGUAACAUCGUUACCAAUUGUACUCUAACUUAAAUGAUAGAUCAAAUGAUGGCUUAACCGCCUUGUAUAAAACCAUAGGGGGAUUAUGUGAAAAAAAUAUAAAAACUAUAGGAGAUAAAGUGGAUAUUUAUACAAACUAUACGAGAGUUAAGUGAAUAUUGCGAUUUCAUCACACGUACUUUUGGAAUGUGUCUAGUAUAAUCGUUGUCACUGAUUGUGCAUCCCAUGUAUUUUUCAUUGUACAUAAAAUCAUAGGGAGGUUCUCUUGUAAUCAUCGAGGUCCUCUUGUAAUAUUAUAUUGCAUAAUUUUAAAGUAGCUAGCCUAUAGUGCCUAACAAAAUUCAUUGUGCUCUCUCUUAUCUUUUUCGCCAAAUUAGAUUUUGGCAAAUGAAAAAAAAAAUCAUUUUUAGUUCUUAAAAUUUGGGAUUGGACUAAAGUAGUUAUCAAUGUUUUAACCACAACAAAAAUAGUCCCUAAAGUAUUUAAAUUUGAUCGGAUUAGUUCCUAAUGUUUUGAACUAAAAAAAUGUAGUUCCCAAAGUAUAUUAAUUGACCAAAUUAGUCCCUAACAUUUUAUAAAAUCUAAAAAAAUUAUUUAUGUAAUACAAGAUAAAAAUUAUAGAAAUUAAUAAAAACUCAUGAGAAUUCUACAAAGACUAUGAAAGAAUUACAAAAACAAAUCAUAAAAGCUCUCAAAAAUAUAUAAAAAAAGCUUAAAGUAAUCUAAAAAUCCAAUUUAAUACCCGAAUUAAGCAUGUGAUUAUGCAUGUGCUCUGUUUAUUUAUUUUAUGUACUUUCUUCAAUAAAAUAAAUAUAGUAUUAUAAUUUGUACAUGCACUUUUGUAUACGUUUGUGUACAAAUAUAAACUGUCAUAUCUAUCAAGUGUCUUCAUUUCGUCAAAAAUCCCUACCUUAAACUUAGUUUAUAUUUUUCAAAGUUUUUAAGAUUUUGUGAUUUUUCUAGAAUUUCUCCACAACUUUUAUGGCAUUUUUAUUUUUUGUAUUUUGUUAUAUUUUUAUAGAUAUACAAGCAUUAGGAACCAAUUUGGUCAUUAUAUCUUAGAGCCUGUGUUUGUUUAGACGAUAUAUUAGAGAUUAAUUUGGUCAACAAUGAAUACUAUACAAAUUUUUUUUUUUGGCUGGGAAAAUGAGGACUGAUUUAGUUAACUCCUAAACGUUGAGGACCAAAUGUGCAUUUUUCCCUUCGACAGAUUUUAGUGAUUGUGUAUUGGUGUUCAUAACUAAAAACAUUAGAUAUCAGUUUUGUUUUUGUGGUAAACUUGUAAGACCAAUUUGGUCACAAUUAGAAGUAUUAAAAAUUAGAUUUAUAUGGGAGGGGAUGGGGCUGGAUGGUAAGAUGGAAUGGAUUGCAGGUAGGAGGUCAUGAGUUCAAAGUUUUCACUUAUUGAGAGAGAGAGAGAGAUUAGAUUUAUACAGCUAGAACUUUGGGAACCAAAACGACAAUAUAGCUAAGUUUGGUAGUUGGAGAUUUGGAAAGGAAAGAAAAGAGAGUGAGAGAAAGUGAGUUUUAAGUACAUUGAAGUUUCCUUAAUAUAGAAAAGAAGAAAAAAAAGUUAAGCGAUUUGUCUAUAGUUUUUUUUUUUAUAUAAGAAAAAAGUUUGAGUGGAUUCAGUUUUGGUCAUUAUCACAGGUCAGGGCAUGCCCUUGGACUGAUCACUUACAGGAGUUCUUACAAAUCACUUACUAAUACAUUUCUCAUAUUGGUAGUGAAAUUCGAAUACACAACUUUUUAUGAGAGAGUGAUCUGCUCGUAUAAACUGAAUCAACUUGUGUUGAUGAUUUGUUUAUAGUGCUACCACAAUUUAUAAAAGUUUCUCGUUCGACCUAGGGAACAAAAUAAUAGUCUUGCUGGGAGCUUGCUAAAUAUUUAUAAAAUACCCAUUUUGUCCAUAAAAGUUUGAUUAACAAAAUUUUGUGGACUUGUAUUUAGAAAUUAUUUCAUUUCUUCUAAACUCCCAAAUAAAAUUAGAAUUUCUUUUCUUCUUACUCUCAUUUCUUUUCUUUUAAAAAUUAUUUCAUUUCUUUUCUCAACGUCCAAAUAAAAUUAGAAUUUCUUUUCUUCUUUUCUCUCAUAUCUUAAGAUUUCUCUUUUCAUUUAACAAUUAUUUGAGAAGGUGUGAUGAAGGUACACAACGUGGUAGUACCCUGUGAUACAUUACCAAAACAUAUUCUUCAAAUAAGUAAAAAGGCUCAGAACACCUUGCCCUCCUGAAUUUAGUGGGUAGCCACACUUUACCCCCUUCAACCUUAAAUAUAUAUACUUUACUUGCAUCAAGAUUAGUCAAAGUAAGAAAUAUAAUAAAAAAAAAAGUGAGUGCAAUGAUAUUAUUGCACUUUUAUUUAUGAAAUUAUCGAUAACUUAAUAUUAUUUGCUUUCAUUGUUAAAAAAUAUACAUCUUCUCUAUCGUAUCAACUAUAUAACAAUCUCUGAAAAAAGCUUUAAAAAAAGUUUAUAUUUAGUUCAUAUCCUUAAAACUUUUCCUGUCCGAUUAAUAUUCGCUUUUGUUAUAUGUUUUGUUCAUUUAUUAGACUUUAAGUCAAAUAAAAAGAAUAAAAUAACACAAUACUAAAAUAAACAUAAUUACUAUUUUUUUAAAAAGGGGCAACACUAAACUUGUUUUUAGCUUAAAAAGUAGUUUUUUAUUAUUUUAGUUUCCAUGAACUUUUAGACUAAUACUAUUUUCAUUUUUUAUUGAUAUAUUUAUAGUUUACUAUUAUUGCCUUUUCUUUUAUUAAAAUAAAAUUUGAUUUAAUCUCUAUUUUUCUUCUCUUAGUUUAGAAAUAAGGCAUAUUAGCCAUUUUUAGCAAAUUUAAUUAAGAAUUUAAUAUUGGACUAAUUUAAUAAAUAAAAAUGACAAUAAUAUUAACCUAAAAAUUUUAAAUAAAUUAAAAUAAUAAAAAAACUACUUUAAAAAAUGAGUUUAGUAUUACCUUUUUUUUGAAAGUUUGGCAAUUAUAUUUAUUUUUAGUAUUAUGUUAUUUAUCUAUUUUGUUUGAAUUAAAGUCUAAUAAAUUGAAUAAAUCAUAUAUAAUAGUGAACAUUAAUCUAACGAAAAAAUGUUCAUGGAUAUAAACUAAAUAUUAGUUGUCUUUAACUUUUUGUAGUUUGAUAUUUUCGUAUAGUUGAUAUGAUAGAGAAGUUGUAAAUCUUUAAGUAAUGAAAGGAAAUGGUACUAAGUUAUAGAUAAGUUCAUGAAAUAAAAGAAUAAUAAUAUGUCAUUGCACUCAUCUUUUUUAUAUUUUUAACUUUGACUAGUGGAUAAAAUGUAUAUAUUUAAGAUUAACGUGGGUAAAAUGUGACUAUCCCCUUAGUUCAGGAGGGCAAAGUGUAAAUUGAAUUCUGGUAAGUAUUAGAUUUAGAAAACUCAUACUGUUUUGUUGAAUUGGUAGGACGUGACUGGCAAUGUUUCGUCAUAGCUCAAUACAAUGUGUUGCGGUGCAUUCAAAAUCAGACUCCACUGGCCAGUUUUCUCGAAAUCCGAUCAAGAAUCGAUUGAAUCAGUAAAAGUCGGACCAUUGAACCGAUUUCUAUCAUUUUUUUUAAUUUUUUUUUUCCUUAGUAUCAAAUGCUAUCCAAAUUAUUUAACAUCAAAAUCAAAAAUAAAAAAAAUUAAAUCUUAGGUACUGUCAAGAAUCAAUUGAACCAGUAAUAGUCAAACCAUUGAACCGAUUUCUAUUAUUUUUUUCCUCUUUUCUUUAAAUAUCAAAUUCUAUCCAAAUUAUCUAACAUCAAAAUGAAAAGCCAAAAUGAAUAAAUCUUUGGUCCAAACGGUCGAACCGGUUAAACUACGAGCACCUCUGGUUCACUAACCUGGCCGGAUUUAAAAACAUAACCACGUGCGGUGCGGUACCUUGUAAGUCUAACGUGGAAGGGAAGGUCAAUCCAAGCACGUAUUGUCAACCGGUACGCCUGAUUAUAUUAUAUUAAUAAAAAAGAAUAGAUGACCGAAAAGUACCCAAGAUUGGAAGACAGCAAAAAAUGAACAAAAUGUCCAACACCUUAGCAGUUUAGCAGCGGCAGAAGCAGCAUCUUUUGGUAUCUGCAUUUGCAGGAAGUCAGAAUAAAGUGCAAACGAAAAGCCCAGAAAAAGGCCUGACCAACCAACAAGGCAGUCUUAGAUUCUUGGUAUUAUUAUCUAUCUCAUCAUCUACUUCAAAAGGUCCUUUUAUUACAGUUUGCUUCUCUCUCUCUCUCUGAUUUUCUGUUUAUCUCUUCAUUCAUAGCAAGUACAAGUAGAAUGAUAGUUCAUGUGUGCAAGGAUACUUUGUGUUUCUUGAUAAAUGUUUUUUCUUUGAGAAAUGGAUUUUUUUUGUGGGGAUUCUUUGAAUUGUUGGAUAAACUUAACUUAGAUUACCUAGUCUCUGAAUAUAAAGAACAGAAAAUUGUUAGUCAUGUUGAUAAGUUAAAAGUGGAGAAAUUUGCAAUUCUCAGCUGGAAUUCGUAUAGAAUCAUAAUAGACAGUCAAGUACAUACUCUCAGGAUUGUCAGCUCUGGACAUACUUGUUGGGAGAGUAUUAGGAGGCGAACAGCAAGGCGGUGGUGGAGGCCUUGAGUUGAAGAUCUUUAAAUUUUGUGUGUCCAUUGCAGGUUUGACAUGUUUGUUGGGUUAAACAGUAUUGUAACAAGGCUGCAUCAUGGGUUUUGCCCUGCUUGCUAUAUCAAUGAAUGAUAAGCGAGUCCGGCAGUAGUCCUCCUCAUGUUUGGUCAGUCUUGAUGGCUGAUAUUUUAGGUAACUGGUAACAUCUCUCCUUUUCUAUUGAAAACAAGAAAAGCAUUAUGCUUCUUCAUCAAAUAAAUAGGUUGAAUUAAAUGGAGAGAGGAGAGAGAUAAUCAAAAGAAGAAACAAUAUUGGCUGGAGCCUGGAAUUUAUAUAUGUAAGUAUGUAUGUAUAUAUGUUUGUAGCGGAAAUUCACAACAUAAAUAAUAUGCAAAAUGGGGACGAUGGAGGAUUGUAUCUACUAAUACUCUAUUUAGUUUGUUGUGUGGACAGCUUCAUGGAAAUGGUGGAAAAGUGCAAGCAGAGUCCAACCUUAUGGAAGAGAGAAAAAGUUGAAACUCUAGGUUUGAGGUUUGGAGGAACAUGCAAACUGCCAAAAUGUGAUUAGUCUCCUGAAUCUUUAGCUUUUCAGCUGGUCUUGAUGCAAAUGUUGUUGAUCUCAUUGGAAAAAAGCAAUGCUGGAAGGAUUGAUUAUAGGUCCAGGAACUAGCAGAUGUUGGAAGACUUGUACUUUGUCUACAUAGAUUGGAAUUGGUGUAAUUAAGAGGAUGGGUUGGUUUGAAAGGGGCAUAAAACAAACGAAUUCUUGGACAAUUUAUUCCCAUAAUGCAAGAUAUGGAAAAAUUCUGCCUCCCAAAUAGAUGGCAUCCUUUUCUUGGAACCUUUGUUGAAGAUUUGUAUGGAUAUUGGUGCUUAUGGGAACAUGAUAGAUUGGCCUCAAGCAAUCUUUAGUUACAUUGUCGUACAGCACAAUCUGGCCUGGUUCUGCUUACCGGAGUGGUUGGCUUUAUUCUGGCUAAUUAUAGGACUUCUUGUCUGACUUGAAGUGUGUGAUAUUGGAAUAAGAAGGGGUUUGAUGCUUUAGGCGCUGCCCUUCAGUGCUUGAUAUGGAUUUUAUGCUUUAAACGAUUGGAAGGGCUUAUGAGGGGAGAGGAAUUAAUGAUCAGUUGAACACAAUUUUUGUGACACUUGAUGUUCUCAACAGAUAUCAUUAGUCUCAUAUAUAAUCUUUUGUCAAACUCUUGGAUUCUGUUGUGUAAAGGCAGAUCAGUUUGUAGCUUUGCAUGCAUUGCUCCAGUGAUAAUUUAAGCAUUUGCAAUUAGGAAAAUUAAUAGAAUGAACAAGAUGGAUUUGCAUGUUUAGACUGAGUUGGAACUUUCACAUGAUUUUUAUGCUUCAAAGGGAAAAAGUGUUAGAAGUUGGAUUUUUUUUUCUUUGUUAAUCUCCAUAAUGUGUGCUUUAUCUUUGGCUUAGUCCUAAUUGUUGCAUUUAUCCUUUUCAGUUACUGUUAACCAGUUCUUUGCAAAAAUGUGACUAAGAAAUUAAGUAUAGGAAGCAAUUACUGACUAGAAAAUUUUCAAUAGGAACUAUUCUCUGAGGGAAUGCUGUACAGAUCAUGAGGUUGUUACAGUUUAUCAUACAAGAGUGUCUAAUCUAAAUGAUGUAUACAGUCUUUCUCACUUCUCUUCACCAUACUAUGAACUUCUGCUCUUAAAUUUGGGAGCUAUUAAAGUGUUUUUGGUGCAUAGUUAUGUUAAUUGUUGGUUUCUGAGUAUUUUGAUCCUAAUUUCGGCUCUUUUUUUUUUUUUUUUCUUUUCUGUGUGAAGCCUGACCUCAUCGCUAGACUUGCUAGUGUAGUAUGCAAAAAUACUUUUUUGCUAUAGUGGCCUACUGCCUACUGCUAAAAGAAGAUUUCUUCACAAUAUUCUUGAUGCUUAUAAUGGGUUAGAAUCAUGAUUUGACCUUACAUCCAGAAGUGAAAAUGGUGAAAUGAGCAUGUAUUUUCCAAUGUGUUAUGCAGCAGUAGUGGAAAAGGGAAUACUCUCUUUGGUUCUUAAGGAACCAUCCUGAUUCAUUUAAGUUAGUCCUUUGCUAAAGUAAUUAUUCAGCUAUGAACAUGUAGGGCAUUAACAGCUGCAUGAUGGCUGACAAAAGUAUUUUUUCAUUAGUCUUACAUGCCGAAGAGGUAGUUCAAAAUUACAAGUCACCACAAACAGAUUGGUUGGAGAAAUAAAUCUUUCAUGCAAGGAAAGUUAGGAACCAGUCAAUUAUAGGACCAAAAUCUUGAUGUGCCUUGUUUUCUAGACCUCCAGUCCACAAGAACCCUAGAUCCCGUGGGAGGGAGGAUGGCUCUCAUGUUUCAGAAGUGGGAUGCUGCGGGAUACAUUUCAUAUGGUGAUGCACAGGGCCUUGGGUAAUGAGGUAAUAUGUGUGCUCUGGCUGGUCCAGGAGGCAAUAGUUGAUGAAAGUGCUUAUGCUUUGGACAGACCACGAGGCAAUUGAUGGCAACUAGUAGGUCGUGGUCGGUGGCUGGAAGAUCCAGAUGCCUGUGUUCUGCUAUUGUAAGAUUUAGGUUGCCCAGGCAUGUAUUGCCAUUGUUGUGGGGUUUGUUAGAUCAUUGUGUUCCAGCAGUGGGAGCACAGGUAGACCAUAUAAGCAUGACAUGAUCUCAUGGAGUGCAUGAUGUAUGAUGCAUCACUCAUAAUAGAAGUCAUGCUAUGAAUAGGAUGAUUAAAUGUGCAUGCUAACGUGUAUGAUAUGCAUUAUGGCAUGAGCCUAUUAUAAAUGGUGUUCACACUAAUGAUUACUGUCCCCCGGUCAAGAAUCCACAUAGAUUGAGACCUACAAAAUCUUUGAUCAUUGCUCCUGUUGCUUCUGAACACCUAGAGGGGCACACUGCACCAUCCAAGUGACCAUUUUCUAGUGAUAUGUAGGACACAUAUUUGAGAAAAUUGUAUCCCUAAUUUGCCACACACGUACAGAACAGUCAGUGUUAUUUGCUUGAAGAGUUCUUAUAUGAGAUGAAGAUUGACACAAUAGUACGACUGUGGAAUAAGGAUUUGGCCAGUACAGUAAUGAGCAACCCAGUCUACCAACUUGAAGAAUCUGUGGUGUCCAGUUCAUCAGUGCUGCCAUAUUCUUGAAGCCUUUAUCUUCUUUUCUCGUUUAUACUCUUUUAAAGCAUUGUCAAAACUGAGACUGUUUAAUGCUGUUAUGCAGUAAAAAUUUUGUUGAUGGGAAAUACAGAAUCAACUUCUGGUGACACAUCUCGAGACUUUCCACAUGAAGCCUCCGGAUAUGCUGGAAAUCCAGUUGAUCCUAGUUAUCAACACCAACAUCCAAUCUAUGCUGGAAAUCCAGUGGACACUAAAUAUCAGCAGCAGCCACCAGCAUCUGCAACAAGUUCAUUGAACAGUAACAACCAGAGGAAGCAUCGACCAACCUAUAUAGCUGAUAACUUCAAUUCACUAGAAGAGGUAUUUAAUUCUUGUAGGUAAUCAUACCUUAACCAUAGUUUUUUUCUCAUUAUGUGUUCCUUCAGUGAUAUGACCUACUACAAUUUUCAUUUGCUCAAUGUUGGAUAUUUACUUCAUGACUUUUCAGUUGUUUGUGAAUUGGAAAAUGAAAUUGUAAUAGAGCUUCUAUAUCAAACCUGAGACAAAGUGAAUGUUUUUGUUCCCAGGUGGUUACUGCAUUAAGAGAAGAAGGCCUCGAAUCAUCAAAUUUAAUUCUGGGAAUUGAUUUUACACAGAGUAAUGAGUGGACAGGUACUUUGAUGCAAAAUCUGUUCUGUAACUUCCACCUUAGAUUAGUAGAAAGGCAUAUGACAAUUUGUUGUUUCUAGGAAAGUAUUCAUUCAACAGGAGAAGCCUUCAUGCAAUGGGCACUACACCUAAUCCAUAUCAGCAAGCUAUCUCCAUCAUUGGGCGGACAUUAUCACCUUUUGAUGAAGAUAAUUUGAUACCUUGUAUCGGAUUUGGGGAUGGUUAGUUUUCAGUAAUUUUGCUUGUUAACUUGAUAUCAGAAUCGUCUUUUUUGGGCGGAAAUGUCAUACUGGUUCUUUUAUUUCGUAGCAUCCACACAUGAUCAGCAUGUGUUCAGCUUUUACCCUGACCAUCGACCUUGCCACGGAUUUGAAGAAGCUCUUGCAAGAUAUAAAGAGAUUGUGCCUCACCUAAAGUUAUCAGGUUUGAUGACUAGAGUGCAUCAUUUUGCACAAUGUUUAUGCACAUUGUUGAAAAAUGCAUUUGAUGAUAAUAUGAUUACUAUAAUCCUGGAUGCUUUUAUUCAACAGCAUUUUAUGAUUAUGAUCAUGCAUGAAUGAAGAACGAAUAGGACUGAAAUCAUUAACUAUGGUACAAAUAUGUUUUCCAAACCUUAUUGUGGAAUCAAUUAAAUCAACUCCCUCCUGAAAUUAAACUAGUAGGAACAUGAUUCCUAUUAAACCAGCAAUUCUACAAGGCCCUAGUAAUAUCUAAGUUUGAUAUUUUUUAAUGCAUGAAGGAAAAGCAUGACAUUUGAAUCCUCAGAAGGAAGCCAUGAUGCGAUAAAAGGUAUUAGUAUUACAUUUGAUGUCCUAAUUGAUUGGGGGUCCCACCUAGAAAGAUUUCUUAAUCCCAUCCCAUAUAUCCCCCUUCACCACCCCCACUUUAAGAAAAAGAAAAAUGGAAAAUCAGAACAGAAAAUAAGGGAAAAGUUACUGUGCAACCUAUUUUACUAGAAUUUCUCAGACCCUAGUGGAUUUGGAAUCAGAUUGCAUGAUUUAAAACAUGGUUCAUUGGCAAUUAGGAAUGCUUAUUUUGGUGUUCUGAAGUUCAAAACUUAUGCAUGUAGAAUAUAUUUUUGUUUGUUGCUGCACCCAAUGAUUGCAUCUAAACCAUGGCAGUGAAAAAACUCCUACAUAUUGAAUCGUUUCUCCAGAAUGAUGUACAAAAAUACUCCUUUUUGUUGAAAAGUUUUAAUGAAACUUUCCUGUACGCUGAACUUUCUUCCCUCUAAAUAUCCUAAUGAAGCCUAGCCCUAACAUUUGCCAUUUCUAAGUUUCCUAAAGAAACCUAGCCCUAGUGUUUUGCAUUUUGUGUAACUAGCAUUCUAUGGUCCCUAUGUCAUUCUGUGGUCCAGAACAAUCCAAUCUAGGUUGACUACUGCAGAAACCAACUGAUCCAUUUGAUUUAACAGGACCUUUAUACAUAUUUGAACAAUAUUUUCCUAAGGCUAUUUUCAGAAUCAUCAUGUUCUCUUUUCGGUAUAAAGUGAAUCGCGUCAUUCCCACAAUCUAAGAGGAUUAUAGUAGUGUGUUAAGUGCACCUUGCAGAAAAAGAUUGUGCUACUUCAUUCAUUUGGUCUUUACCUUUUCUUUCAACUUUUCUGUUUUCCAUCUUUUGCCUUUUAUGGGAAAAAUGUUUGAAUGCCAUUGCAAUAAUCAUUAAAGACAAAUAACUAAUGCACAUCUUUCACUACAUAUCUCUGGUACCUUCCUCUUUCUAUGUAAGGUUAUCAGUUUUCUGCUGUGAGUUAUUAAUAGUGCACUUAAACUGCAAAAAUGUUGCAGAAUAAUUAUCUACCACAAAAUGAGGCUUGUAAACCAAUGAAUUGGAAACCGAGUUUCUAACAUCUCUCUAUCUGCAUGUCUGAUAUAGUUAACUUUUGAUUCUUUUCCUAGCCUUACUGAUGCAUGCAAAUUAUAGGUCCAACAUCCUUUGCACCAAUAAUUGAUUCUGCAGUUGAUAUUGUAGAGAGAAGCAAUGGGCAAUAUCAUGUCCUUGUAAUUAUUGCUGAUGGACAGGUUCAAUUGUUGUACUUUGAUGAACUUUAUAAGCUUUUAUUGACUCUCCUGCGUGACCUUUUCUUGUCCUUUAUUGUUUGCAUAUAUUAUUAGGUUACUAGGAGUUCCAAUACACCACAUGGAAGGUUUAGUCGACAAGAGCAGGCAACUAUUAAUUCUAUAGUUGCUGCAAGGUAAUACCGUGGACUUGGAAAUCCCCUAUUUGUUCUUUGGAGUUCACUAAUUUAAUACUUAAUGCAAAGUGAAUAUUCUCUUUCAAUUGUUCUUGUUGGUGUUGGGGAUGGACCCUGGGAAGAAAUGCUACAAUUUGAUGACAACAUUCUCCAAAUAUUUUGAAUUUACUAACAUAAUAUGAAUGCACAGUGAAUAUCCUCUUUCAAUCAUUCUUGUUGGUGUCGGGGAUGGACCUUGGGAUGAAAUGCAACAAUUUGAUGACAACAUUCCUCAACGUGCUUUUGACAAUUUUCAGGUACUUGCUAACAAAAUCAAAUUUAUUUUGUGCUUAACAUUAACAUACUCCAGGCAACUGUAUACUUGAUAGUCCACAUUGUAGAUUUUUGCAUGAUUAACUUAUCUACAGUUGCAGUUGACUCAAAGCCUUCCUGAAUUAUAAAUCCCUCUAACCAACAUGUUAUGGAAUCUUAUUGAGUUUAAAACUUUAAGGCCGUAUAUACCAGUCUUCCACAGUGGAAACAUCUUUCAAGAUUUUUUUUUUUUUUGUUUGUGGUGGGGGGGCCCGGGGAAGAGAAACCAAACUGGGGAAAAACUGAGACGAAAAACAGCUCCUCUGCAGGAACUAAAAAACAUCAGGUUAACAAUUAUGCAUUAUCCUCCAACAACUAGAAGCCAGUUGUCUAAAUAGAACUAUACAUCUAAGGCUUACUGAAGAAUGGCAUACAUAUCAAGUAGUUGAGAAUUUAAAGUUGAAGGCAAAGUAAUGUUCUGCAAAAUUGCGCAUUAAACAUUUAUGGAUGACUGAAUGAAACAUGCCAGGCAGGAGGAUUUAAAAACAAAGGACCAACUCUUCAAGUUUAAAGUUGCAAGAAAGUAAAGAUUAACUUGUGUUCUUCAAUUUAAAUCUGAAGUAUGGUCCAAGGACCCUCUAACAAGUACAUGCUGAGUGAAAAUGGGCCAAUUGAAAAAUACUUACCUUCCGCAUCCGCUCUGCAAGUUCAACAUGUGCUGCCUUGACUUCAUAAUCAUCUCCAGUUUUUGUGAGACCCUAUUAAAUUGAGAGGAGGUGAUCCAGAGAUGAAAACCAAAAGUUCAUUAAAUUUCCUAAUUGGUCAAGAUAACAGACAGCUUCACAUUUAGUAAGUAAAAGAACUACUAAGAUUAUGUAAUCAAUUCCAAAUAAAAGCUGUUUUCUUACCUUAGUAAUCACCAAAAGAGACAAAUCCACACGAUUCAUAAGAAGAUCUGCAAUGGUAUUCUUGACAUAUUGCACGGCACCAGGAACAUCCCUGUCUAUUAGUAUUUUGUGAAGACAUUCAGUUACAAGGUUUUUGACCAAUAAACAGUUAUCUCUUCGAACUGUUUCAAUCCCUGAAAGAGAAAAUUGAAAUAUUUUAUCAGCUAUGUCGACUGUGAUAAUUUUCAAUAAGAAAAUUAUUCUGAGACUAAAAACAGGAAAAGAAAACUUGGUCACCUUUAGCAUCCAUUUUGUCAAACUUAUUGGGAUUUGUCCAAAGAAGGCCAGCGUAUCUCUUCUUGCUAAUUAAUAGAUAUGGAUAAUAUACCUUCUCAAACUCCAACUUUAUUGGCUAUAAAAUAAACACAGACACAGGAGAAAAUAAAUAAGAAAAAGGAAAACGAGAGGACAAAGGAGAGUCCAUAGAAGAUGGAAAACUGUCUAUUAGUUUUGCUACUAAAAUCUACCAAGGUUUGAGAAAAAAGAUAUAUAAAAUGGCAAAAGAAAAGGACUAGGAUAUUUGAAUGUUAUGGAAUUUAAGAAUCUCGAAAGUAUGUAUUUCACGCUAAAUUCAUGACUAAAAACAAAAAACUACAAAUUUUGAUUUUGAUGAUGUGUGUGAUUUUCACUCAAGUCUUACCUAGAGGUUUGAUUAUCAAGAACAUUGACUUUGCGCAAAAAAAAAUUAGUUUCUGAAUCCCACAACUAGCAGCCAGAUACAUCUCUAAAGGUAUAAGAAUGGUACUUGAAGAGCUCCAGAUGGGUUGCUAGAGCACUGGCUCAUUCUUAAGAAAGGUCCCUCAUAUGGAAUUGACGACCUCUUCUUCAACACCAGAGGCACACCCAACAUCAAAUGAAUAAGGGUUACCGAGUUUGUUUAAGAUGCACAUGUAACAUAUUCCUCAUUGCUAUCUUUCUACCAAGCUAAUAAGAUCAGAAAUUCCUAAUCAGAAUUGAUCUGAAAGUUUCCUCAGCAUAUGAAAAGGUAGAUAAUGAAAUAUGCUGUCAGAAGCAUAAAAUUAAUCUGCUUCUUGAUGCAUUUGAACAGUAUCACACUCGACAUCAACUUUCAGAAUUCUGGUCUGGUUGCCUUGCCAUUGUCUCUGCAAAGUGCUGUAACUUGAUGCCUAGGGAAAACUUUAAUUACUGUCCUAAGACAUAUAAGGUCCAUGAAAGGUUGCAGGUCCAUAGCCAAUUUGUUUAUGAAGUACAUGUUAGCAAACUUCCAUAUAAGGUGUCUUUAGAGAAAAUAAAUGCACUAAUUAACCACUCAGGCAAAAAGCCAUGGUUAAAUUAAGACCCAGAUUGAGAUCAUUCAAGUAAACAGAAAGGAAAGAAAACAAGUUUAUAUUAACAUAUAAAACAACAAGAACAUUGCAGACAUUACAUAAAUUUUGAAAAAAAUAGUCACUUGACAACAGAAAACCAUAUUGUACAUAAGAACCAAGUUAAAUAAUGAUCAAACAGAAUUUCUUAGAAAAUAGUCAAGAACCUAUUUAGGUUCUUAUAAUUCUUAGAAACUUGAACGUGGUAUUAAAAGAACCAAGGAUAGCUACUAGCGAUUGAGAAAGGAAGAGUUUCAUUACUUACUUUCGUGAAAGUUCCGCUAAUGUAGUCAGCAGCUUCUCUACCUAGGUUCAUAGCUUCUUCAACUGUAGGGACGCCAAAUUGCACCAUCACAGAAUCUGUAUCUCCAUAUAUUACCUGAUAACAAAGUGAUGUUCAAGUACAAACUACUACUGAUCUGGUACACCAAGGAAUGUACCUACCACAUUGUCUCACAAUUAGCUCGUGCAGCCCUGAAAUUGUGAACUAACACCUAAUCUUUUCAUUUUCUUGUCAAUGAAGAUGGCACAUCAUAAGACCAGGCAUAGUUCUACAAUUUAGACAAUUAAAUAAAAUAUCCAUCACACGUUACCUUCUGAAUUAAUACAGAAAUCAGUAACUACAAUUCCACUUUUUUUUUCUUGUCAAUGAAGAUAACACAUCAUAAGAGCAGGCAUAGAUCUAUAGUUUUGACAAUAAAAUAAUAUAUCCAUCCCAAGUUAUCUUCUGAACCGAUAGAGAAACCAGAAACUACUAUUCCACUUUCCAGCAUUACAAACUAACAGGCUUUUGUUAGUUCUCAUAGUCCUGUGAUACCUUUACAAGCCAUUCUCCACAUCAUAUGAUGUUAUCAAAAGGCCAAGGCUGAAAAGGAUUCAAUAAAAAACAUAAACUGUUUACCUCAGCAUUAUGUUCAUAGCCCCCAAGCACUGUGAAUUUAUCUUCCACCAGUUUCUUGGUGUGUUCAAUCAUCUGUCGACCUUCAACAUUAUGGCCAGUCAAAUGGAUCAGGUAAUUGUAAAACAAAAUCCGUGGUAAUACCGUUUCAAGAAGUAAGGGAGAUGAUAUUAGAAUCCCAAUCCCCAAAAACAAAUUGAAAAGUGGAAAUAGAAAAAAAGAGGUCAUCAGGACAUAUUACCAUAACUUGUGACACUCGAAGAUAUUUCUAGACAAGGUAGUUGACCCACUGUAGCUCCUGUAAACCCAUAUACAGAAUUUGCACUUAUCUGUAAAGUUCAGAAGACAUUGAACAACUUAGAUUGCUUCAGAAACAUUGUGAUAAGAGCAAAAUGACUUGUCAAGGGCAUAAUUACAAGUCUACAAAUCGCCGAUAAUUUCAAAGGUCUCAUUACCUUCAGAGCCAGUUGACGACCAUCUAAAACAGCUUUUACCAGAGGAUCCCUCGCUUCCUAAAAAAAACUGUAAAGUUAAUACUGCAUGCAUAAGAUUUUUCUGGAUAGUAAUGAAGGGAUACCCUCUCAAGAGAAGUGUAACUUAGAAAACCCUCUAAUGACCAAUGCUAAUACUUGUCAAAUUACCAACUGCAUUGGCUCUUGAAAAUCUGUAAGGUCUAACAAUUCAAGAAAGCCUGAAGUGGUUAAAAAAAACCUCUCAGAGUGAAUGACAUUUAUCAACUUAUCUUGUGGAGUUUCAAGACCUAAACAUAGUUUAGUCUUGAAAAGUUUUGUCAUCAAAUCCCAAAGCCAAAGGCCUUUAAACAUUGCAAGACAAAUAUAUAUAAUAGACUAACCAAUAUUAUGAUACAGAAACUGCAACAAAAUUCAGUGUGUGAGUAGCACCUUCAAGUCUGCUUUUGCCCUUUUACGAGCAGCCAACAGUUCUUCAAGAAUUUCUGGAAGUAUUCCCUGAAGCAACAUUUAACACAUUACUAAAAACUCACACACUGUAUACAAAUGCAUUAAAGCAUCAAUAGAAAGAUUAACCUUCUGUAAAUUUGUUUUGACAAAUGUGUCACCAGAUGGAGUUUUAGUGACCCAUUCUGGAGGAAGGUUAAGUCUACGCAUGUCUUCAGGAGUUACCUAUAAAUAAAAUUCCAGAUCAAUCAUACCUCCAUCUUGAUCCAAUCAUAAAACAAUCAAAAACACAUUUCAGUUCCAUCCUCCCCUCUCAGCAGGGAAAUAUGGGAACAAUAAUGUCUUACCAAUGUACAGUAACACAGAUUAUAAGCCAUCAUAAUUGAGGGAUACAGAGAUGCAAAAUCAAGUGUUGCAAUAGGCUUCUCAAAAAAUCCUGCACUGGCUUCCAAAACCUGUCAAAGGAAUGAUGUCAAAUAUAUAAAACCACCAUAAGAGGCUCCAAGUCAGAUGAAUAUGAAAGCUAUCAUAAUACAUACUUUUGAAACUCUAUGCCAAAAUUAUAUCCACCCAAAGAAGUCAAAACACCAUCACUAAAAAUUUGCAGAUUCAAUACAAGCAGCCCAAUUAAUUUCCUUCUAUAUUUGGGCAUCUCAAGACAGUGAAACAAUUGUCCAUGCUGUAAUGAAAAUACGACCUGUAAGUAUCUUUCUAACAUGCCCAUAUUCAUUGCAUUACAUCACAAAAUUGAGUUGCAAACUAAUUAAUGAAAAUAAGGGAUUUUAGAAGAAAAACAGGAACAUCAUGUUCUCCUGAUUCGGGGAACAAAUAUCUACCACUUUAGCAUGCAUUGGAAGGGAAUUAGCAGAAAUUGAAGAAAAGCAGCAACAGCAGCAGCGUUAUAAGCACAAAUGUGUUUUCCCUUUCACUAUUCAAGUUCAUCAAAGUUUCACCCAGAUAGCUUAAUUGCUGGAGCUACUAAUUGCUUCUGAUAUAACAUCAGUAAAUGGAAGAUAAUAUGCUUAUCAAAUAAUAUUCUCCUAAUUAGUCCAGGUCACUACAUGAAAGAUAGCAGUUGAUGUCUUAUCAAGCAAGUUCAGAACAUGGCAAAACAAAUUCUAAUGAUUUGACGGAACCACCUUAACGCUCCUCCUAACAAGAUCAGAAAUGAAACAGUUCAGCAGAAGUAUACAACCAACAUAGUUGCUCAAUCUUGUGUAGCAAAAACAUCAUAACAGGACAAAGACUUGAUGACAAAACUAUGUCAUACACUUCUUAUAUGAAUUUAAACCUCAUAAAGGAAAAGGAGAUCAAUUGCUUACAGUUGCACCCUCAAAUGUUCCUUGUUCAGAUCCGGCCUGUUUCGCAUUGGGAAUAACAAGAUUCUUUUGUUUUGCUUUCCUAAGAAGUUGAGAUAACACCUGAAGACAGUUGUUACAAGUUUCACAUCCGCUUAUAAAUAUAGGGAGAUAAGUGAGACUCCAAUAAAUUAAAAUAUAUUCUAUACGAAAAAGAACAAAAUGGUAGCAAAGCUUACAACCAACCUUAAUGCUCUGCCCUCUUGAGAGAAGAAAUGAGAUAGGGACACCUGUUACUCGGGCCAUCUCCACAUAGUUGUAAAUGAACAUCAAUUUGUCCAAAAGCCGUUGUGGGAGAUAAGCAUCCUACAGCAAAUCUACUAAAGUAAGUUUUUCAACGUAAAAUGCCCCUGAACUUACUGAUUACCAUCAGAUGUACAACAAACAUUUCAAGAUCCGACCACCAACUUCCUGUGAGUAAAAAAAAAACUCCAUGCAGCUUAACAUUUACUAAACAUAGACCUUUAUGAAUAUCCAGUAAGAAAUCGAAAGUAACAGACAUCUAAUUGGAACCCUAACAUCCCCAGUCCAUUCAAAAAAACAACUCUGUAUGUGCCUCAUGUUCCUCCAAGAGUGGACGAAUGUGCAGCUUCUUCUUUCACGAUUUAGAGACGAGUUAAUCAAAGAUAUUUGAAAGGAAAUGGAAAAGGAAGAUUUCUAGCUUCAUAAAUGAAAAAGAUGGUCAAAGGUUAGGAGCAUGAAUUAUACAGAACACUUUUGGUACCAUACAGCAAAGCUGGUCCACGAGGCUCCUGCAGUGCUAAACUCUACCCACAGAAAGGAUAAGGUCGAUUCCUCUAAGACCCAUGACCUCAGAAGUCAAAAGAGAACAACACUGUCUCAACAAGAAUACCCUUAUUUCCAAUAUAAAAAGACUAUUGCAGUAGAUUCCCUGAAAUUUCCCCAAGACAACAUAAUAAUAUAUCUAGCAUAUUGUAGCAACCAUAAAAGACAGCCAAUAAAAUUUAAAAAACAACAACAGCAACAAAGAAGAAAAACAUAUAGAAAGACAAAUGCACACACCUUCAAACAAUACUUAGCGAGACGCAUCCUUGUGUCUGAGUUCCCAUUCUGAAGGUCAGAUAUGAUUGAAUGGUGAACAUCCUCCUUCUGCACAAAUAAAAUAUUUAAUGAGCGCAUCAUAGUCAAACAGAUAUAUCCUAUAAACAACCUCUUUCUGCACAUAACUAAAAUUUCAACAAAUGUCUUAAAAUCCAAACAGAUAAGCAUAUCCUAUACGCGCGCGCGAGAGAGAGAGAGAGAGAGAGAGAGAGUUUCUGAAACAAGAUGCAUUAGAAGGCACAAGAACAAUGGUUUAUUCCCAAACUGCAGAACCAGUGAAUGAACAUCAGCUACUCUAAAAAUAAAUGUUCUGCUUUUGCCAGCAAAGAUCUUUGUAAUGUAUAUUUAUGUGUAAAAACCAAAGCAACAGAACCAGUUAUUUCUCACCAGCACAAGGCUGAAAGGAAAAGUAACUAUGACUGGAUAGUUACCAGCUUUUAAGCCUGUACCCUUAAUCUCCCUUCCUGGGCUUGCUUACCCACCCAGACAACUACCAACCAUGUGACCUUAAGGAGAAGAAAAAUGUUCUCCAAGGAAAGCACAUAUCUAGUCAUAUGGUCCUUGUCAAAGAAGUCACCUUCUCCCUGAAAUCCUACCUUUUGUUCACCCAUCAGGUAUGACAAAAAAGGACCAGGUGCAGACUUGAUUAAUAUGAUGGGGACCAUGAAAGCCCAGAUUGGCAGAUGAGUCCAGGAUUACCAGACGCUUGCCUACAACUCCAGUUAAGCCAAAAUAUAUUAAUAUAAAUAUGUUUUUUUUUGUUAAUGCAUGCUAAGAAUUCAGUCCAAGACUUCUCUCUCUCUUUUUUUUUUUUGGGGGGGGGGGGGGGGGGUGGUGGUGGGUGGUGUGUUAGUCUUAGGAUCAAAUAUAAAAUGGUCAUAGAUGUGGAAAGCAAUACCAGGACUCGAAAGUCCAGGAGGCAAACAAAACCAUUCUUACAGAUUCAUAAAUCAUCCCAAAACAAACAACCAUCUUGUUCUAUCAGCUGCUUUUAAAAUUUUGAAUCAGCUUGCAUUCACAAACAGACAGCCUUCUAUUUAUACUAGAAGGAGAAAUAAUCUUCUACGAGAAUACAUACAAGAAAUAAACACAAAAGACUUUUAAGGCACAUUAAUGUAACCUCUGAUCAUGCCAGAAUACAUAUAGUUUCUAAACCAACAAAUGAAUCCAAAAACUUUUGGUCUGAGUUUUAUCCACGAUUCAUCUUUACAGGGAGAAAUAAGUCUUGGUCUAUAACAUACAACCUAGUCUUCUCUUAUGCUUCAUUUUGGUGUUCAAAUACAAGCUUUCAACUCUUUUUAUGAUCUAAUCUGAUUUGCUUUUCAAACUGAAAUACAAUUGCAUAUUAAGAUUUCUUUACAGCAAAGACCGAGGAACCAGGGGGUGAAGGGAGGUCACCGCCCCAACACCCCCCCCCCCAAAUGGGCACCUUAAUUAGUGGAAUUUCUUAGCGCCCCCAUCAUUUUAGGAACUCUUUUGAAGAUUUUCUAUUUUGCUCCCAUUUCUACUAUUGCACCAACUCCCUCCUCUUACUUUCAUAUUUCCUCAAUUUAUGUCCUUAAAGUCUACCCAUCCAAAGAAGAAAGGAACACUGUCCAAUUGAUUUAUACCACGACUUCUCUAUACUGAUUUUAAAAUUUAGCCCCUUCAAAGAAAAUGCUUUCAAACAAGUUGUUCUGCAAUGCAUAUUCGUUUCUUCCCAUUGACAGAAUGCAAAAAGAGCAAUUCAAUACUCAAAUACUAAAUACUUCUAAAAAAAACACUUAAUAAAUUUAGCAAAAAAGAUAUCAUAGGGAGUAAAAUGAAAGGAAAAGCAACUUGACCAAUUUCAAAGAUCCCUACACAAUAUGUCCAUUUAGCAAGUGCCUUCACAAAAAAUAUCCAACCAAUACUAGAAGUACAGAAUGCUAUGUACCCUUAAACUAUGUAAAAUAUCCUUACCUGCUCAUUAAGGAAAUGUGCAGAGACUGAGUUCAAUGAAUACGAACUUAACUUAUAAUCCCUCUGCAUAACCUGCAGCAAAAGACAUGGCACAAAAAAUGACUUGAGGAAAUCUCAGAGUGAAAUAUCUUAUCACCAUGACUGAAUAAAGAAGACAUUUAAAAAAAGAAAUCCCCAAGAAAGCAUAGGGGUAAAUGCCUCAUAAGCAAAACCUGAAGCAAGUCAAAUUGAACUCUCCCUUCUAUUGUAACUUCUUUACUUUCCCUGGUACCGUAUUGUCUGCAUUACCAAAAAAUUACAAUCAAUCAUUGUUGUUCACUUACUUACCUGACACAACAGGAAAAUUUAAAACAGUAACAUAAUAUAUAAGUACCCAGACAUCAGACAGUUCAAGGGACAAAAUCCAUUAAACUUUAAAACCUAUUAUGGACUCCCACAUAAAAUCUCAUAUGGUUCUCCAACUCCAAGAUGAUACUGAUAACAUUUUCCACAGAUUAAUAGGAGGCUUUGCAAAUAAAAUGAACUUUCCUUACUCUACUCAUUCCAGCAUAUGAAAACUCAAAUGCGUAUAUUUUAACAGCUUCAGUCCUGUCUUAUUAAGCCUUUCAAGGCAAGCAACUAUGGUGAUUUGUCAAUUAUGGCUAACUCAUGAUUAAUUUGACUUCAUUGAGAAUCAGCUACGUCCAUUCAAGUGCAUUCACUUAAUGGCUUACUCCAGUAAUGUGAACAUUGGAUUGUCUGAUAACAAGAAACUUAGGCCCAGAAAAACUGGAUGUCGCAUAUGUACAGAGAUAGAAAGUUAACCGCUUCCAACAGCAAAGAAUGGAGCCAAUACCUACAAGAUCCAUUAAAGAGUUACUUUUCUAUUCUGCUAUGAAAAUAGAAAAGUAUAGCAGGAACCAAAGAAAAAUAACCUUAUCUUCAGGCAGAUUUUGAAUUGAAAGUUCAGUGAUUUUGGUCCUGAAUUUUCCUUGUAUGUUGAAAAAUGUGCCAGUUCAAACCUGUUAUAUUCUCCCAGGGAGCAUCUGUUUCCUAGAAUUCUUUCAUAAGUGUGUCAUAAUCUGAUUUUUUUUCUCUUUCUUUUUUCCCUUCUGGGUAUCUUCUUUUUCCUGUAUUUGACUUGCACAUCCAAGAACAUGAAUUCCUUUUACACGUGACAGACCGGGCAUCCACUCAAUCAAUGCAAAUUAACUAGACACUAGUUUGAAAGAGGAUAAACAACAUUUUUCAUGUAAGUUUUAUAGCCUGAAAUUAUAUGGAAGUGGUCUGUAUGAUGAAAUAAAGAGACAAAAAGCUAAAACUAUAUUAAAUGAGCAUAGAUAAGAAACAAGGGUGACUUAUAUCUCAAAGAAAAGGACUAAACAAGAGUAGGAUAAAGCAAAGGCAGCACUCAAAGGUAACAUAAAACACAGAGAAGACAAAAACACAUGACCGUUGCAUGUUCACUUUGCAUAUUAACAUACAUUAAAGAUAAAUGUGGUGCUUCACACAUAAAUGUUAAAGGGUGACGCCAACUAUCUAAAUGGGUCUUUUUAAGUGAAGUAAUAUUUUGUUCCCUUCCUCAAUGUAUGCUGUCUUCCAUCUGUCUGACUCUUUUAUCUCAGACAGCAGAGCUACUAGAGAUGCAAUGCACAUAAACUGGAUGAAAUAUGCUUGCAAGAAGCAGACCAAAAUGAGGUUGCAUUACAAAACCUUACGGAACGAGAAGCAAAGCAACAAGCAGCAUGGAUUACUAUAGGUAACUGGAUUUGCAGUCUUCUGCAACAUCUCAAUUAUCUCUGUUAAGGGCAAAUUGCGGAUUUGGGCUUUACUUAGUUACCAUAUAACAAGAGUUAUGGAUAUUUACCAUUUCCAGAUGACUGGGCUGUUGAAAAAUUGGCCCGAUCAAUCCCAUCUCCUAAACAUUAAGUUCUGGUUUUAGUUAGCAAUUUCUUCAUCCAGUUCUCUAAUAAAGGCCUUGCAAGGAAUAUUAAAUGUAUAUCCCAAAAACCACCGAAUGACUGAAAAAUCCAGUAUUAGGAAGUGAUUGAGCUUCUUCUACCUUCUGUUGCUUCCUUUAUCAUUCUUUCAGAUGGUUCUUUUUCGUCGUAACUUCCUUCCUCUCACAAAAUCUUUCAAUUCUCCAUAUUUAUUUGGCUAUCUGUUCAUCUAUAGAAACUAUAACAUUUCAAAGGCAACAAGCAAGGAAUUCAAAUAAUUUUCCAAGUCCAGAAAAGUCAACAGGGGCAGAGUCGUAAAUAACCUAAACAACUAGGCGGGUUUUGUGUUCAACAGGUAGCUAUCAGCUUUGACAAUUAGGAUAGAUAAGGUAAUUACUCAACAAGGUGGUGAUAAAGACCAACAGAAAACGCACAUCUUGUGUUGCAAAAGCAAAAGGACUUGUAUAAAAAAUAAAAAUAAAAAAAGACAUGAGAAUCAGCAGCUAGAUAAAUAUCCAUGUGUCACUCUGUAUCAGUAUCACAUCAAGUUCAAUACGCCACUUAGAUUCACCAGGUGUUUAGUUGCAAAAUAAAAAUUAAUGACUAAAGAAAGAAAGAACAAAUGCAUUGCUUUGUUGAUAUAGUAGGAUGGUGAGAUUUGAUGAUCUUCAUCAGAGCUUGCCAGGCAGAGAAAAGAAAGGUCAAAAAUAUAAUUACCUUGAAGAAAAUGUAGUAUCUUUGACACGGACUUUGCUGUUUAUGAUCCGUCCAAGUAAAGGAAACUCUGUUAUUCCUAGCACUUUAGCCCUCUAGACAACAUCAAAUGCAAAUCAAAUACUUGAGAUUGGAAAAGGCAUUAACACAUGGAAGGUUAAUCAUGAAAGGAAUGAUGAAAAGGUUCCUCUACCUCAAUAAGAUAGGGCAGAUCGAACUUGCAGAUGUUAUACCCAAUUAUAAUGUCAGGGUCCACUUCACGGAUAAAAUCCUAAAAUGUUAAAAAGAAAAAGAUAAAGCUGAAAUAAAAGCACCAAAGCAGAGAAAAAAAUCACAUUGCCCAAAGAAUGCUGCCAUUAGUUUUUCAAUCCUGAACUUUGCCUUUUCCUAUCAAAGACUUGGCAUGCUUCUGAUAAGCCGCUAUUAGUAAUAAGAGAAAUUUGUAGAUUGUAUCCUGUAAAUGCAAAAUUUGUAUAAUUUCUCCUGUGAAUGCAGAAUAAAAAUGCAUCUUUCCAAGUGAAAUCUUUGGAACUCAUAAGUACGCAACAUUUCCACCACUGCACCAUCACAACCAACAAAAAUUUCACCAAGGAAGAUAAAAGGUCUCUUAAACUACUAAGCAUUUGCAGACAGAAGCUCAUUUCAACAAAAAAAUUAGUGGUAUAUGUGUAUCAAGUGGCUAUUUGUAAAGAUUUAUUGGUCCAGUACCUUUUGGAUUUACUCUAACUUCUUUCUUUUCACUAGAAAAUACAAUUCAUUUAGAACAAUAUAUGACAUUGCCACAAACAACCCAUUCCAUACCACCCAAGAAAGAAAGGUGCUAACUAUGACUAAUCAAAAUCAACAAUGAAGCUUCUAUGUUGAGCAUAUUACCCGCCAAGCAAGUAAGACCUCUUUCUCGGUGUCAAAGGACAUAACAUCAACGCCAGCAAUAGGUGAGCACGACUUAAGCGUCAUUACAUUACGAACAAAUGGCUGAUCCUGUCCCUGCAAUGUAACUACAUUGGCCACCUGAAAUGCAAGAAGAGAAUGUCAUUCUGAAAAAGCUUUAAGGCAUAAAGUAUUCUCUACCCAUCAGGGGAUGAGAACAAUCUAACCUGGAUAACAGGAUCAUGGAUGGGCUCAGGGAAAAGACCUUUACGACCUGCACACUCUAUGUCAAAACUUAAAAUGCGAAAGGGAGCCAUCUUUGAGAAUUCUCCUUCAGGAACAUGGCUAACUAAGUCUGUGUAACUAAGACCAAUCGUUAAGGAAAUAUUUGUUCUAGAAAAUGCACAAUUCAAUAUAAUUCUGCCAAGAAGAGAUCUGAUUUCAACACCAUAGAAGAUUGUCUUUUACAUGUAUUCUAAUAGCAUUUUAGAGUCAGGAUACAGACAGUCAAACUCCAACUGGCAGUAGGACAGGUUUUUCGCUUUCUUUAUAUAUUUUCCUACUGGCACUUCAAUCCAAUUCCCACCAACAAUAUUGCAAUCAAUCAUGAACCGCAGAGCAAACAGAAUAUUACUCUCAUACGUCAUAAAGCUCUUCAAGCCAAGCCCAUCAAUUUGUAUGCCUCUGUCCAGGAUACCUAAUAAGUUUUGUCAUGUUAGAUGGAAACAAACAAAACAACAGUAAAAUCAUAUAUCAGGACCAAAAAAAAAAAUCAUCUAAUUACACUACUACACUGCUACACGUCCAGUCUACACUGCUAUACGUCCAGUCUACACUGUAACCCUCAUUUCCUUCAUCUUCCAGGGUAGGUGGAUGCAGAGCAUAUACAUUUGUGGCUAAUCUACACUUGAAGAGUCUUUUUACCAGGCACAUUUGUAAACUUACGGACCAAUUAAUGCAGCAUGUAAAAAGUCAUCUCUGAUAACAAAGACAUAACAGCUAAAAUAGGCCACGGCAGAUUUUUCCACUUCAGCAAAAGGAUAAACCAUCAAUCUGAUGGCCCAGAAACCAUGAAUGCUUUGUACAGAAAUUCACAUUGAACAAUUCAUUGCAGUGAUAAGCCUGGUAACAGUGUAACAAAUUCUAACCACGACAGCUGGUAACCAUUGUUGGCAAUGCCACUACUAUCUUGAGGAAAGGCUGAGAAUUCUGCUGUUGAUAAUACAUUAUGCUUCUUCUCUGAACCAAUUCAACCCGCCGCACAAAAUAAGGAACAUUGCUAUUCCUGUUCACAUCUCUCAUCCUUCCCUGCACCAAUAAGCAAGGAAUGAAAAGAGAGAGAGAGAGAGAGAGAGAGGGUUGAAAAUUAUUUUCGUGACCAAAUGGGACAGUAAUUUUAGGAUAAAAUGGAUGGACAGGAGAUUCAAUAUUUUGGGUGACUUUAUGUUCUAAGAAAACAGGAUGCCACAAACGUGCACAUAUGUAGACUGCAAGGAAUGAGGCACCUCAAGAAUUUGAUGAAGAUAAAUACAGGGUGGACAUAUGUAAAAUGAAUUGAAAGAGUACCUACCUCGAGAAUUUGAUGAAAACGCGAAAUGUCAUCAGGACCCAUUCCUGGAGGGCAGCUGAUGUAGAAAUAAGGUUCAAACCCAUGUACGUGACAGCAAACACUAUGUCCUGGCCAACAACCGAGACAGCUUGCUUAAUACUUGUAUGAUAACUUUCAAUGCAAAAAAUGAAGAAAAUAAAUAAACACAAAUAAAUAGGACUACUGCUUAUAACUACUUUAUAUGUACCAAUUUAUUUAACCUUUAUAAAAUUAUGCGAACAUGAAUAAGCAUAAUCUGCAUUUUCUUCAUUACCAUCAAACACUAAAUUCACAAGCGCAACAUCCUAAUUCCAGUAUAUUCAUAUUUAUCAAAACAUAGCAACAUCUAACACGAAGCAUAAACUUGAAAGACUGAAUUAACAAAAGUUAAACUUCCAAACCUAUCCAAUCCAUAAAGGAGCCCUAUUUCGAUUUUCAGUUGCACAAAUUCUAGUUCAAAAAAUAUCACUGAACAAUUUAUUGAUGUCUUGAAGUACCACUUUUUGUGGCCACAGAUGUGAAGAGAAAAGAUCAUCAGUUUUUCCUUAUGUGUGGAAAUAGCUUACUUAUUGGGACAAUAAGCCAUAUGUGUGUAUAGAAAGAGAGAGAGAGAGAAACUGUCAAACUUUCCAAAGACACAACCAAGCAUGAAAUUUACCAAAAACUAACUACAAAACUUAUGCAGAAUCAGUUGGUCAAUUUCAAUCCCGUUUAACUAAUUGAAACAGAACCCAACAGACCAAUCAACUCAACCCCCCCCCCCAAAAAAAAGACAUACUAGAAUGGUACUACUCCAGUUCAGCAGUUAAAGAAAAACAUUAACUAUUUUAAUUACAAUGCUAUUACUCAUAUUUUCUGUAAGAACUUCAAUAGACCACAAAUUCAGCUCCAUAUAGUCAGUACCAGACCCCAUAUUAGUCCAAAAUAAAUGUAGAAAUACUCGAAUACAUACGCACCUUCUUUGGUGACACCAAAGAUUCUCAAAAUAGGAGCAACACCAGAAGACUUAGGCAGCAAUUCUUUAUGACUCUCGCCAAUCACAUAGUCAAUUUCCAGCUGUUGAAAUACUACUCAAAGAAAAAAAACAAAAUUAACCACAAGUUUCAAAGAACCAUUAAAUUUCACAUUUUUAACAAACCCUAAACUUCAGUAUUAUAAUCCAUAUUAGGCUAAAAUACAGCAAUGGCAACUUCAGUAAUAACUAAGUCAAAAUGGUAAUUAAACAACAUACCGAUGCUCUGAGACUGUGAGGUGUAAAGUUGAGAAAGCGGAGGCCGCUUCCAUUUUUGCAGCCGCUCCUCGGCUUCACGCAGGGCUUGGGUGUCUUCUUUGUUCAGGGGAAGUGGGGUUUCGUCGAGGUAAUAGUUGUCCUCGUCUCCCUCGUCGUCUUCCAUCGCAGCAUGGUGCUUCUGCUGCGGAUGUUGCGAAGGCGCCGGCGGCGGAGGCCGUUUUCUGCUGUUGCCGGUGUUGCUCAUAUCGCCGGAGUUAGGAGAAGCCAACGGGGGAGGAGAGAGAGGGUUUUGGUGGAGCGUGGGAAGUCGGGUUCCCGCCAAAUUGUUGUAGUUGGGUUUUUUAAGGGUUUAAUUUCACGGGAUUAUUGGACGGUAAAAACAAAUCAGAACGGAUCCCUGAAAUUGGAUUCGGAUCUGGACCGGUUGUCCAACCGGGAGGACCAGGCAGAUACAGUUGGUUUAUAUUCAAUUAGGUACGGUUGGUUAAGUAUAACAUCGGUUGUAAACGAAUCAGACUGCAUACGAAUCGAUUCAAUCAAAGUUUGACUCGAGUUUGGUCAAUUGUCAUAAUUCCAAAUAUAUUGGAUAAUUCAUAUCUUUAGUUGUUAAUAUUAUAGUUUAGUGGAGUUUGAAUUGGUUAGCAAGGAUAAACAUGUAUAUAUACUUAUAAAUUGUUGAAAGCUAUUGAGUAAUAUUAGAAUUUCAAAUCAAUUUCUCUCAGGCGACGCCAAAAUUUCAGAGCAACUCAAGAUUUUCCAAGAUAUUCCUGAACAACACUUAACCCUCAUGGCUUUUAACAGUUCAAGGGACUUUUAUGGAACAAUCGAGAGUUUACUCUUUCAUAAGAAUCAUUGCCUGUGUAAAGAGAAUAAGAAUGAGUUUAGCCUAUCAUGGUUUCUUAGUAAAAUUCUGAUAUUCAAACUUUUCUGCCUUUCUUUCAUUUCAUUCAAGGAUUUAUACAUCAGAAAGAUAGCUCUUUUUUAAUAGUAGAACGACUCUUUGGAAUAUUAAUGAGCUUUCAAACAACCAAGCGACUCUUUAAACAGUAAAACAAUUAUUUUGAAUAUUAAAAUACAAACGACUUUUCAAACAACCAAAUAACUUUUUAAGCAGUAAAAUGACUUUUCUAUGGGAUCCAUUGAAUCUUCUUUCAGACAUGAGUAGGAUAGUAGAUAUCCUCAUCUGGUGUGUCUGAUGGAGUGCUAUCAGGAUCAGUAAUGUUGUACAUCUCAAUGUGAUCCAUGUGUCUUCUUUUAUUCUGUCUUUUGUUGAGAUAUCUUUGCUUUGUUGUCCUUCCUUUGAAUUUUGACGAUUGUGCAGAAGAACUUGCUCCUUGGUCAUACGGAUCUUGUGAGUCUUGCAUAGCACUAUCAUUUAUCAUUUUCAGAUAAUUUUUCUUGGCUUUUUCAAUUGUAUUCCAAUGGGGAUGAAUGGUACGAUAAUUCCAAGGACCAUAAUGUCCUGUCCAAAUUUCUUGUGGAAUGGAUUGGUUUUGUUGGAAUAUGUACCUUUAGGCUUCUUCAUGCUCUUCAUCAAGGUCUAAAAUAGUAUGGAAAAAUUCCUAUAGAUAACUGCACUUGAAAGAGUUUGGAGGAGAAACAGCAUUAAAAUAAAAUGAAGUUGAUUUCCGAAGAGGUUAGGAGAUAAUGAUUUUGUCUGUAAAUAUCAAAUCCAAGAAUGAUAUCUUUCCCUGUGAAAUUUGCUCCCAAAAUUCGAGUUUGAAUUUGACAAUAUGGGAGUACUUUGAUGAUAAUGGGGUUUUUUGUUCCAAACCUUGUUUGGAAAAUUUCCCCAUCAGCCACUUUGAAAUCAUGGAUUUAUUUAAUCCAAUAUGAAUCAGGUAAAAUAUCCUUUUUCAGAAUGGAUAUGGUAGCACUUGAAUCAAAGAAAGCAAUGACUGGAAUAGGUUUAGAGUACUUAUCCAUUAAAAUAUGAACUAAUGUUUGGGGAUAAGUAUCUGUUGAUUUUAGAGGUUUGAUGGAAAAAAUUUCUUCUGGUACCUACAAUGCCAAAAGAGUACUAUCAGUAACAUCUUCUUGUUCAGAAAACUCAAAUUCUAAACUAGAAAAAUGAAUUUGAAAUUCAUUCUGAAUUUCUGAAAUUAAUUUUACUCCCUUUUGAUUUUGAGGACAAUAUUUUGCAAAAUGUCCUGAUAUUCCACAAAUGAAACAUUUGCUUCCUUUCUUGCCUCUAAACUUUUUUUCUUUCCUUUAGAAGUAUUCCACCUUUUCCUGAAAGAUCUUCUUGGGUAACUUUUGUUAAAACCUUUGAACCUUUUGAACUUUUUCUUUCUUCUGUAGCUUGAAGGACUGCAAGCUUGGCAUUUUCCUUUUGUUAUCAGCUCAGAUUUUUUACAGGCUUGGUCUAAACAGACAUCUCCCUUGAGAUAUUUUCGAAUAAUUUUUCGUUUGUUGCACAAAUUAUUCAAGGAAAGAAAGACUGCUUGUUUGAUCUGACCUGUAGAAAGAUUUAAAAUAGAACCAUAUUUAUUAUAGAUAUACAUUUCAACACCAUCAGUAAGAGAUUUAGGUAGAGAACUUAUAAAUGCUUGUUUCAAGUUAAUAUCAACACCUAGAGUAAAAAACAAUUGAAUCAUUUUUUUGAAAUAUUUAUUAAGAUCUUUUCAAUCAUAAGAAAGACAUUCAUUUGAAAAAAUUCUUUUCUUUUUGUUCCUUUACUCUCUUUUACAUCUCCAAUGAACAUGAAGAGCAAGAUAUUAAUAUUUUCAAAAAAUUCUUGUCUAGUUAGGAAAAACAUUUUAUCUUGUUCUCCUAAACUUGCCUACCAGUCUUUGAGGAUUCCUGAAAAUUGAGCAGUGAAGUCAGAUAAAAUUUCAAAAUGAGAUUCUUCAGUAAUAUUUUGGAUAAUCAUCUAAGCAUGAAAAUUCUGAAAUUUUUCUUCCCACUUUGAUGAAGGUACAUCAUCAAUUGUAAAGAUCUGAGUUCCUUUCAUUUUUGAUGAUGUUUUCUUCUAACUAUUGGACGUUUCACCAAUUUCUUCCUCUUCAUCAGGAUGAACAACUUUGACUUUGUUGCCAUAUUCAGUUCGGGGUUUUGAGAUUUCAUCAAAAUUUUCUUCUCCAGUAAAUUCUUCAAUAGAAUCUUCAAGGCUUGAAUUUUCUUCAAUACUUUCAGUACUAUUUCCCUUGGUUGAUUAUGAGUCUGAAUCUUUAUCCUUUCUUCUUAACUUUUCUCAUAUUUCUCUCUUAGUUUUCAAUUCUGUUCUUAGGAAUUAUCCCGAAUUAUAGAGCAUUCAAGCCUACACGAUUUUGGUGUCCACGGCAGAAGGUUUGCAAUUUACAAUAAUAAAAGAAACUGGGAUUCUACCAGUAGAAACAGAUGCGAAGGAGGAGGCCAUAUAUGAACUUCUAGAGUAGUACUUCAAGAAUCAAGAUCUACAAUUGCAAAAACUAAUGUGCAGUUGCCAGGAAUUCCACCAAAACCUUAGCGAAGAUCUUCAUAAAAGUUUUCAAGAAAACAAUAAGAAAUUGGAUGCCUUAAUGGAAAGAUUAGACCAAAAGUUUGAUCUGUUGAUUCAAGCCUUCAAUGGUGGAAAAAGGGUUCUAACGGGAGAAUGCUUUGAUAGCGAUCGAAGAUUUGUUGUGGAGGAACAACACUUGUUUGAUUAAAGCAAUUCCAAGAAUCAAGUUUCUCAUUUUAAGAAGGUGAAUCUUGAGGAAGAGUCGAACAAGGAAGAAAUAGGCAACAUUUUACUACGAAAUGUUUCAAUCAGUGAUUUGAUUAUGAUUUCUAUAGAAAAUUAUGGGGAAAGGAAGAGAAAAUGUGACGAAAUCAUAUUAAAUUGUCAAUUGAUGGAUGAUACGAAGAAUGAAACUCAUGGAAUUUGUAUACAAGAGAAUGUUGAUAUUGAGUCCCACGACCUGCAAUUGAUGAAAGGAAAUAAUAAUAUGUCUGAAUCUUUUGAGGCGCGUCAUGAAUUAGAAAGAGAAACAUUGCAAGAUAAAGUUGAUGAGCCUGGUAUACAGCAGCAAUGAGCUAUUCUUGAAAAGAAUUAGAAAGGGGCUGAAGAAUUCAGAUUAUUGAUAUUGUUAGGAACUCUUAGAUUAAUUGUAGAUUAUGUAAUUAGUGUCUUGAAGGCAGACACCAAAUUGUGUUACACUUCUUGAAGCGGGGAAACCUCAUGGAGGUUUUUGUAGUUGUUUUUCUUCAAGAGCAUUUCACUGGAAUCAUCGGUAAUAGGAGUGUCAAUAGGGCCGGACCAGCCCGAACCUGAUCCGUUCGGCCCUAUAAAAAGCCCAAUGAGCCUACAAUAUCAGUGAGUCGGGCUGAGCUUGGGCCUCAAAACUAGGCUCAUAUUAAAUAUGAGCCGAGCUUGGGCUUUAUUAGGCUCAAACCCAAUAGACCCGGCCCUAUAUAUAAUAUAAUAUAGGUAAUAUUUAUAAUAUUUAUAUUUUGGUAAUAUAAUUAUAUAUAUAGGUAUUAUAUACAAUAUUUAUGUUUUAGUUGUAGAAAACCAAAAAAAAACAUUAAUUUUUGUAAAAAAAAAAGAAAAGAAAAAGUGGAUGCCAUCAUGAGCCAUGAGCCAUCCUUUUGACCAUAGAAGAGCAACUUGAGCAAGUGAGCAACGACAGGAGUAAGAGGAAAAACAAGGAAAGAGACAACGGCUAAAAGAAGAAAAAGAGAAAAGGGAGAGAAGAAAAGAAGAAGAAAUGAGAAGAAAAAGAAAGGGGGAAAAGAGAAGAGAGAAAGGGGGGAUCUGAGAAAAAAAAAGAGAAGAGAGGGAGGCAACGAAAGAGAGAAGGAAAAACAUAGAAGAAAGAAAGAGCAGAAAAAGACAGAAGACACAGGAAGAAAAAAAAAGCUCUCGCUCUCUAGUCUCCACUCCGUCUCUCAAUCUUCUCCUGUUUUUCAAUUUUCCUUUUUUUGGCAUUAGAUGUCAGAUGCAAACAAUGAAGACAUUGUUAUUACAAUCACAGAUGUUGAAGCAACAAAAACUGCAGCUGAACAAGAACCUGAAGGAGAAGAAACAAAUAAAGGUGAAAAGAGGAAAAAAGAAAUGAAUGUGAGGUCCAAAGUUUGGCUCCAUUUCACCAAGAUUUCACCAAAGGAAGAGGAAUGUACUUGCAAUUAUUGCAAGAAAAUUUUCUCCUGCUGUAGCAAAGGAUGAACAACUUAUUUGCAUCGACAUAUAUUUGGGGGCAUAUGUGUAGCCUACAAAAGAGCCAAGGGAGGACAAUCGUCAAAAGGGCAAACACUUCUUAGUUUCUCCAAAGGUAAUUCAGAUCAAGUUAAUAACUCUGUUUGAAAAUUCGAUCAAGAGAGUAGUCGAAAAGAUCUAACAGAGCUUAUAAUUAAUCGAGAGCUGCCAUUCAAUUUCGUUGAAGAUAAAUCAUUUUAGAAGUAUGCUCUGAGUCUUAAUCCGAAGGUUAAAUUUGUGUCUAGAAACACAAUGAAAAGUGACUGUAUGAAAAUAUAUGAAUUUGAAAAAAAUAAAUUGAAGGAAAUUUUUUUGCAAUCCAAACCAAGAGUAUGUUUGACAACAGAUACUUAGACAUCUAAAACGGAUCUCCCUUUCAUGGCAUUGACUGCUCAUUUCAUAGAUAAUCAUUGAAAAUUGCAUAAAAAAAUUAUCAAUUUUGUCUUGGUUCCAAUGAAGAUAUCCGGGGAGAAUCUAUCUGAUAUAAUUAUUAAUUGCUUGUUAGAGUGGAAUAUUGAUAAGAUAUGCACCAUAACUAUGGAUAAUGCUUCAACUAAUGAUGUUGUUGCUAGAUGCUUGCAAGAGCAUUAUUCAUUUAGAGGUGUAUUAUUGGUAAAUGGGAGCAAUAUUCAAGUUCGUUGUUGGGAUCAUUUUCUUAAUUUGAUUGUUCAAGAAGGAUUGGAUGAGAUUAAUGAUUGUAUUCAUAUGGUUAGGAAUGCAGUUAAAUAUGUUAGAGGAUCUGCUAAGAGAAAACUUGAGUUUCUACACUAUGCUGACCAGGAAUGUAUUUCUAGAGGCAAAAUGUUAUCUCUAGAUAUAUGUACAAGGUGGAACUCAACAUAUUUAAUGCUUGAAUCUGCAUUACAUUAUAGGAGAGCUUAUGAUCGUAUGAAAACUCGUGAUUUGAACUUCAAGGAUCCUCCAUUGGCUGAUGAUUGGGAAAAAGCUCGGAUUGUUCAUGAUUUUCUAGAAACUUUUUAUACUGUCACAAAAAUUUUCUCUGGCAGCAAAUAUUGCACAGCUAAUGUGUUUCUUCGUGUAAUCUACCAUGUGUUCAUGUUAUUAAGGGAAACUUCUAUAGAGAACAGUCCACUUCUUGGAAGCAUGGCAUCGAACAUGUUGGUGAAAAUUGAGAAAUAUUGGUUAGAAAAAGAGCCAAAUAUCUUGCUAUCUGUUGCUUUUGUUUUAGAUCCCAGGUUUAAAAUGAGAAAAUUGAAGACCAUCUUGAGCAAGAUUUAUGAGAGCUAUUUAGCACCAUAUAUGUUAGAUCGUGUUCACACAACACUUCAGGAUCUUUUCAUCGAGUAUGUAAAGGUUUAUGAAGUGAGUUGUUAGUAGGAUAUAACUUCACAAAACGAAAAAACUAUAGGGACAGGCAACAACACUUCUUCCACAGUAAAGAAGAAUUACAUGGAUGAUUUUUAUAGUUUUGACGAGGAAGAAUAUAGCACUUGUAACAAGACAGAGUUGGACUCUUAUUUGGAGGAAAAGAUAUAUCCAAGCAAGGCCGAUGAAGAAAAAUCAUUUGAUGUAUUGGAUUAUUGGAGAACUAAUGCAGCCAAAUUUCCAAUAUUGUCCAUGAUGACAAGAAACAUUUUAGCUAUUCAUGUUUCUUCUGUUGCAUCUGAGAGUGCUUUCAGUACAAGGGGAUGUGUUUUGAACAAGUUUCGUAGCUCAUUGUUAUCCUCCACUGUUGAAGCAUUAAUUUGUACUCAAGAUUGGAUUAAAGAUGCACCUAAGGAAAUUAAUUUUGAACAAGAAUUUGAUCUUGAUUUUACUGGUUAGUAGCAAUAUUUAAAAAUUUUCAUUAAUUAUUUGAUUUCUUGUUGAUAUUUAGACUAACAAGUAGUGUUUAUUCUACCAGUUCCUCUUCCGUCCAAGAGUUAAAAUCAACUCCUCUACCGGUUUUUUUGAGAGCAAUAUUGGUAAUGUAUAUCUAAAACUUUAACUUUUUUUAUUGGUUGAGUAAAUUUUUAUAUGAGUUUGGAUUCAACCCGAAUAUUAUGUGAGUCGAGCAUGAGUUUGUGAGUCGAGCAUGAGUUUCACAUUUAUUAACCCGAAACUCAUAACCCGAAACCCGAAGAUGUUAUAAAUUAAAUGAGCUGAGUUUGGGCUUAUAAAAACCCGACUCAUUAGGCCCGAUUGACAGACAGAGGUAAGGAGUCCAAAGUUGUGAUUAAACCAUGGGUUGAAGUUAUUACUGGGUUCAAAGGUGGCACUCUUACAAGAAGUAUUAAUCAAAGUCCAAAUCAAAAUUAUAGAAUAGUCACUUGGGUAAAAUUGAAUGUUGGUUGCAUGUCUCUCCUUGAAGAUAUUGCUGAUGAUCAAGAUUCAUCAUUUGCUACUGAAUCAAAUACACGUGUCAUUCUUGUUUUUGAUGGCCUUAGUGGUUACCAAGCUGGUGUGGAUGUAGAAAUGAUUAAAUUAGUGGUUCAUUAGUUCCAGAGAAAUCAAUCUUAAUUCAAGGAGGAAUGUGAUUGCAGAAUCUGAAAUUUUUAUGAAGGCAUCCGUGCGACACUCCUGGACUCUUCGAGGAAGAAAAAAUCACUUUGCAGGAGCUAUUGACAGCUACUAAGGUGAAGAUAUUCUUUGAUUUUUGGUAUACCAAGAUCAAACAUCCAUUUGUGGAGUUGAAAUGUGUAACAUCUUCUAAGAGCUUGAUGACAAUAGAAGAUUAUUUUUCCCUUUUGCUUGGCUUCUUUGAUAUGUUCAAAAAGGUAUUUGAUUCAAUGUUGAAGCCAAGUAAGUUACCGGCGGACUUGGUAAUUGUUGAGCAGCUUCUUACAAUAAUUAACCAGUAUAUUAGUAGACCCUAGAUUGAGUGUGCGUCUACAUUUAAGGGUGGCACUGGUAGUUUGAGGGAAUUGUUACAUUCAAGAGUUUCACAUUUACUCUUUAAGAAAUAUGUGCAUAACUUAGAAAACUUGAAGCUCAAAAUUCAGAAAUUGACUAGUAUUAGGAAUUGGCUACAACCGUUUGUUGCAAAAGGAGUUGUUCCAACUUAGAAAACAGCAUUUCAUAGAGUUUUGGAAGGGUGAGAUCAAAUAAAUUCCCUUGUUGCAUCGUCUUUGAGUAGCACAUUGCCAUUGGGAAAGCAACCAAUAUUAGAAGAUUAUGAAGCUGCAUUUGAUUGUCUGAUGUUGACCAAAAUAGUUCACAAGAUUUCUGUGAAUGUUGCAUUUCUCCAGUUUUCAGCAUUGUUUUGAAAAUCAGAUCGGAUCGGCCAGUUCGAUCCGUUACACCGCGAACUAUUCAUAAUUCUGGUUUGGUUCAUAUUUUGGAUUGAUUGGAUAUAAAAAUUGGUAAAAAACAAUUCAAACCAUACGAACCGGAUUGAACCGUUGAAUUGGUGAUUUUUUUGUUUUUUUCUAUUGAAUUGAAAAAAAAAUAGGUUUUCCUUAAUCCCAAUGACUAAUUAUUAUACGCCACAUCUACUCACUUUUUUCUCAUUUUUUGCCUCUUAUCAAAUUUGCAUUUCUAUUUUCUAUUUUCCUGAUUUUUUUCAAACUCCAAACUUUUUUUUAAGUUGUAAUAUCUAAAUCCAAAAAAUGUAAAUUAAAAUUUAAACUCACAGUGUUUAAUUCCCAUAGAUGUGAAUUUUGUAUAAUUUCAGAAUAUUGUGGUAUUUUUGGGUUGGAUAUAAGAUUAUUUAUUUGGUAGAUAAUAUUGAGAUUGAAAUGUAAUUUAUUUGUUUCAACUAAUAAUUUUAAAAAUAUAUUUGUGAAAAUCCAAGUUCUUUCAAAAUAUUAAACUUUUCAGCAUAUAAAAUCUUAAAUUAGUCCAGUGCAUGUCUUACUUUGUGCAUAUAUAUUUAUAUAAAUUAUUUUUUAAAAAACUCAUUGAACCAAGGUUGAACUGGUCCGACCGAUUAAAUCUCGACUCAAAUACCUUGCCGAUUCAAUUAACGGUUCGAGUUUCAAAACAUUGGUUUUAGUUUCAAAGCUCAAUCCUUGAGGACAAGCAUUCUAAGAGGGGAGUAUUGUCAUGACCCCAAAUGUAUUGGAUAAUCCAUAUCUUUAAUUGUUAAUAUUGUAGUUUAGUGGAGGGUUUUGGAUUGGUUAAGAAGGAUAAACGUGUAUUUAUACUUCUAAAUGGUUGGAAGUUAUUGAGCAAUAUCAGAAUUUUCAAGUCAAUUCUUUCUAAUUUCUAGUUCAUCUGUUUAUUUCUCUCUCUCUCUCUCUCUCAUCUUUCCUGCGUUCUUCCUUUUUCUUCUUCCUUUUCAACUUGUCUUUCUCAUAUCUUCUUCUUGAUGAUCGAUUCUUGACAUCAACAUUGAGUUCAAACCAAUCAAAUCGAGUUAUCAAAUAUAUAGCAAGUAUAAAAAAACUAAACUCGUUAGUUCACGAGUUGGCUCAAACACACACACACAUAUAUAUUAUUUAAAUAAUAAAAUUACAUAUAUUUUAUUCAUUUUUAAAAAUAAAAUAAGUAUUUUUUAUUUUUUAAAAUUGAAUAGACUUAAACUCAAGUUUGACUAGGCUCGAAUUUGAGGUAGAGGUCGAACUCAUGUUUUACAUUGAAAGUUUGCCAAGUUCGAAUUUGAUAAAAUUGAGUUGGUUGAUUUGGUGGUUGAAUCGACAUUUAAUUGAGUGGGUAGCUAAAUUUACUUUACCCAUGUUUCCAAAUAUUUAAGAUAGGGCUAGCUAAAUUUAUGUUAAUGAUAUUUUAACACCAUGCCUAGUUUAUAUUGUAAUAUAAAAAAAUAUGUGUACAAGCAGCAAAUAGUUGUGUUUAUACAUAUUUUUUUGUUAGGUCUGUCUAAUUGGUGCUUUAGGCAAUCGUUAAAAUAUAUUUUAAGUGUCAUAUUUUUUUUGGAAAUGUAAGAUUAAUAAGGGAAAGAAAAUAAAUAUAAAGGAGGAUGGGAGGGUAGAUAAUAUUAAAAAGGGAAAAUAUAUAAAUAAAAGAGAAGAUAAUAAUUGUUAGUAUGUAUAUAUAUAUAUAUAUAUAUAUAUAUAUAUAUAUAUAUAUAUAUAUAUAUAUAUAUAGAGACGAAUCUUAAUUGUGUUAACGAGUGGCCUAUGGACACAUAUUAGAAAAAUUCAUUUUUGUUUAUGAACAAUUUUCUUGUAUUAUAAAAGUAUUACACCUUCUGCAAACGAAACAGGCAUGUAUACAAUGAGUUUGUUUGGAUAGGAAGAUUUGCAAACAAAAUUUCAAAUUUUUUUCUACUUACAUCAUAAAUACAAUUUCUAACUACCUUUUUAUCUCACGUACAUCACAUCACAAAAAGUGCUACAGUAAUUAUCUCAAAUAAAUAUUUCAAAUAACCUCCUAUCCAAAUAUUUCAAAUAAUUUUCAUGCUUUUACAUAAUUGGAAUAUUACUCGAAGUACUUUGGCACUUUUACACAAUUGAAAAAUUCAAAUAUUAAGAGUUUUUUUUUAAAGAAAAUGUAUUAAGAGUUUAUAUAUUUCCCAAAUAAUCUGGCAAAACCUAGGGUGUCACUCUAACGUACAGAAUUUAUAACAGACAAGAAGAUGCCUUGUCUUGAGCGAGAGGCCAAUAGUGAAGACUCGUGCCUCCUCCUUGUCCGUUGAGUUGAAAAAACAGAGCAAAGCCACAAGUUUUCGUUUUCUGCAGGUGUGGUUUUCAUCAGCUGUGAAGAAAGAAUCAGGCAGCAAAAACGACAACGUCAAGCUCUCCCCUUAUCAACGUAAAUCCACCAUCCCUUUACUGCUCCUUUGCUCUCCCUUCAGCUGGUUGAUUUAGUUCUUCAAGUCUGGGAUGCGAAUUCCUUUAGCCAUUUGUUGCGUGCCAGAUGUUCGACGAAAUGCUCAUGUGAAGUUGGAUUAUAUUUACACAACAUUUUUGGUGCGGCUACCUACCCUUUAGGUUGCUUGGAGGGAGGUGAAAAAAACUCUGGUUAUUGAAUAUUAAAUCCAUAAGCUGCUUAUCACAGUAGUGAAUGCAAGAACAUGUAUUGUGAACCAAUGAAAUAGUAAGAAGUUUUGAAGUCAUGAAGAUUCUUUUUGUAUUUUGGGUUUUCUGUUUCGGUAGUUGUGGGGGAGGGAGAGGGGAUAGGGUUGCUCUGUCUUCAGAUUUUGUAAAGAAGAGCUUGUACAAGAUUCAGUUACCACAUAGUCCACAUAACUUUGACCCUCUUCCCUGCCCCAUCUGCCAAUGCGAUGAAAAUUAAGAAUCAAGUUCAGAUGAAGCCACACUAAACACUACGAUUAUCACAUUCCACUCCUAUGGGUUGAGAUAAAGUAUGUGCAACUGUUUUUUCUUCCUAAGUGCAUAAUGUACAUUCAGUUGAAUGAACGUGGAGAGGUUAAAUCUAGUUACCUGCUAAUAAUUGGGGUUUUCUUUAAUAGCUUGGAAAUUAUUGCUUCAGUGUUGACUAUUCAAGUUUAAUCUUCGUCCUUUCUGUCAUACCACUAGAAAGUUGGACUUGUUCGCUUCCUACAUUAGGCACUUUAGGUAUCAGAUUUAACUUUCUGUGAUCAGAGUCCAAGUAAUGUUGGUUAACAGAUUAGUUUGGAAAUCUCAAGGGCGUUAUAAAAGAAAGGGCAAGCAAGCGAGAAACUUCCAUAAAGAUAAAUUUAUUAAACUUCUUGGUGCUUUAAGAUUUUAAGUGGAUUAAUGAUGUAAGAUUACUUUGAAGUUUAUGGUUCCUAUACUUGGGAAUGUUAUCAGAUGAGGCAAAUUUUUCUACAAUUAAUCAUCUUAAACACUCUUUUCUUGUUUGUUUCUCUUUAGUUAUCCAUGAUUCAGGAGGAGCACUGUAGGGUGUGUUGACAAAUGAUCCAUGGUCUUUUUUUUUUUUUUAAUGUCACCUUGUAGAUAAUCUAAACAUGUGGAAGGUUUUGUUAUUAAUUCAUCUAUAUGAUCAAAAUUCAUGUGCCUCUUUGGUGAUGUCACUUUUAUUCGUGGCAUAGGUGCAUCAAAGGGCUGGCUUUGGUCCAAAGGAAUGGUGAAGUAUUCUGGACAUACACUAAUUUCUUCUCUUACUCCUUUUUGUUGUGUCCUGAAAAACCAUGGCAGAUUGUCAUCAAGUCUGUUUUAUGGAAGUUCAACAAAGUCAAGGGUGUACCAUUACUGUAAGAGGAGCCACUUACAUACUGAAACUAUAAUGGUUUCUCUGCGUUAUCACCCUUCUUGGUUCAGGUGACUCCUUGAUAUUCUGAUCAGUUUAUUUGACUGUAGCAUGACUUUGUUAUUUUCCUCAGCAUGACUUGUCUUUUGUUUAGUGUCUUCUUGUCAAGAAAUUUCUUCGCCUUGCUAAUAGAGGUUGAAUUUUCAGUGUGGCACCAAUGAUGGAUUGGACAGAUAAUCACUUUAGGACUUUAGCACGGCUCAUCUCAAAACAUGCAUGGUUAUACACAGAAAUGAUUGCUGCAGAGACAAUUGUCUUUCAGAAAGGAGAUUUGGUAAGUCUUCAGGAGAUUUUCUUCUUGAUGAGCAAUGGGUGGAAAAAAAGGUAACCAGAAUGUCAUCACAUGGAGAUGUAGAAAAAAGAAAAAAAUCUUACCGUCAAGCAUUCUGAUCAUUGAAACUGGGGAGAUAUGAUUGUGUGUAAUAUUCAUGUUUGCUACUGUUAUGCUGGUGAUUAUCUUAGAAAUUUUUUGGUUCCUGAGGCAUAGGCAGAUUUAUGAUUAAAUUAUCUCAGAAUCUUCAUUUCUUUUGUACCUCGUGCCAGAUAUAAUGUUCUUUUGUAUCUUUUGUGAUCAACUGUCUAUGCAUAUAAAAUACUGUAUAAUAUUUUUUUUCCAGAACCAGCACUUCAGUUUCAAUCUGUAAAUGCAGUUUAAGUGGAAAAAGAGGUCUAUUGUGCCAAAUUAGCAUUUGGCGAGUCUAGUAAGGAAUUUCCAGAGACAUCUCAUACUGACUAUUUUUCUGGGAUUUUCAGAACCGAUUCUUGGCAUAUGGUCCAGAGCAACAUCCAAUAGUACUUCAGAUUGGGGGAAGUAAUUUGGAUAACCUCGCAAAAGCAACUCAACUUGCAGAUCCCUAUGGCUACGAUGAAAUCAAUUUCAAGUUUGUUUUUUUUGUCUUGUAUGCAGAAGCUCUUGAUUUUUGCUGCCUUUUGAAUUUGAACUAAACCACUUCUAUUCAACAGUUGUGGUUGUCCUAGCCCAAGGGUAGCUGGACAUGGCUGUUUUGGCGUGCGUCUUAUGCUGGAUCCAAAGGUCUUUUACUGGUUGAUUAAAUAUAAGUUAGUUUUGUUCAUGUGAAUAUGGUCUGAAGAGACAAAUUUGUUUUUACAAGGGAAGUUUGUUGCUGAGGCCAUGUCAGUUAUAGCUGCAAACACUGAUGUACCUGUGAGUGUCAAAUGCCGAAUCGGUGUUGAUGACCAUGACUCAUAUUAUGAGCUCUGUAAGUUGACUUAAGCAAAAGAUUUUUGCAGUUCACAUGCUGAAAUUAAUUAUAAAAAGUCUCACUUCUUAGAAAUGAGGACACAUCUUUUGUUAUAAGAAAUGUUGGCUUUCUUAAAAUCGUUGGACCAAAGUUUGGAUCACUCAAUCUCCUCACUAUACUGUUAAUUGUUGUUUAAUCAUUUCUGUUUCUAUAUAAUUUUCUUAGUUUUUGUUUUUUUUUUUUGGGAUGGAUUGUAUUGUUUAAGAACCAGUAAGGAUGAUUUUAUACUCUUUAUCCAGUGUUGCUCUCUUCAUUGCCACUGUAAACCAUCACCGAAUACAUAUUCUAUCUGAUUACGGGAUGUAAAUGGAUUUCUAAGAUACUCUCACUUUCUCAAGUAACAUAGUGUUCAUCAAUCUUUGGUAUGGUUUAAGCUUAAUACCAUUUAAAGCCUCUCCAAGCUAACGCCUUAUUAUAAUAGUGGUACUCAACUGGAUCAGAUAAGGCUUUGGUUUUUUAAAUUAAGGAGGUUUGAGGAGGAAGACCUUCCAAAAUUUUUCAACAUUUGCUUUUUAAGUCUAGUUUCAUAAAUACAAACUUUUUUCUGCUUUUCUUGCAUUGCUAGUUCCCAUAGACUUGCAUGCUCACUCUUGCUUGAAGGUUUCAUAUACUUGAUCUGUGUCGGAAGGAUAAAUUUUAGUGUAUUGUGUCUAUGUCGCAUGGAACUGUUUUGCAUGAUUCCCUUGCAAUUUCUAUUGUCUUUGGGUUUAUAAUUGUUACUUUUGGUAUCAUUAAUGCAAUAAAUCAUAAACUUCGAGAGAGAAGACAUAACUUUCAAUCAACAUAAGAGUAGAUUGGUGUUGACUUGAGCAAAUUGACCCUUCUACAAUCUAGGGGUCAGAGGAGGAGUGGUCAUUAAAAUUUUCUGUUUCAUUUGAUUGAAAGUCACAACUAUGAAAUGGCUUCCAUUAUGCUGAAACCUUUUUUUUUGUCACUCAUUUAUGUAAUAUAAUGCAUGAUGGAGCUUACAAGUAACUAUAACUUCCCAAAUAGAGACCUGUUUGACUUUUUCCCUGUUAAUCUUUCAUUUUUUCCAAUUAGUGCUGUUACUUUUGUAAAAUUUUACAAAGUUUGCAUUAAAACAAGAAGUUUCGAAUCAAGCCCUUUCAUGUAGGAAUUUCAUCUAAAAAACUUAUGAAAGGGAAGUGUGCAACAGCAUUACCCAAAAUCUGAAAGUAUAAAAAAGCAAUCCAUCAGGUCUCAGGUUUGGAGUCUCGUUGUGUUUGGUCUGGAAGGCCAGCUAGUGCGUGGGGCUAGGUUUGGGAAAAGCUUGGUAUGUGUGUGCAUGUGUGUGCUUACCAAAGAGUGUUUGCUAAAUGCUCUGUUUUGUUUUGUGUGUUUGCAAAAUCUUGGUAGGAAUGUGCGUGGAUUUCUCCUGAUCUAUUUCACUUUUCUCAUUUUUGAAGGUGAUUUCAUAUACAAGGUUUCAUCGCAAUCACCUACUAGGCAUUUCAUUAUACACUCCCGAAAAGCAUUACUUAAUGGACUCACCCCAGCUGAAAAUAGGAAAAUUCCUCCCCUGAAGUAUGUAUUUAACGAGUAUUAAUUUGUUUCUCUAGCUUAACUUUCUGUUGAAGACAUGUUCUACUAUUACUAAGCAAUUAAAAUCAGCUUUUAUGGUACCCUUUGAUCAUUGUAGUUAACUGUCAAUGUCCUUUCUUUUUACACUUGCUGGUGUUGCAGAUACGAAUACUAUUAUGCUUUGUUGCGUGAUUUUCCCGAUCUACAGUUUACAAUAAAUGGAGGUAUACAAACCAUAGAUGAAGUAAGUUUGAAGUAUUAUCUAAUUGUAUGCAUUGGUGAUGAUAAGAUUAAAAUUUGUUUGGGUUGUGUUUUUGCAAAUUCAAUUGAUUAUGCUCUGGUUUGCAGUCAUUUGGAAAGUUUCCAAGAUGGAAACUUUUCAAAAUAUCCUCUCCAUCUACCUUCUUGUCACACAAAGACAGUAUUAAAAAAUGUAAUGCUAAGGGAGGAAUCAUGGGUAUGAAUUGAUUGUGUAUGCGUACUAGAUGACUAAGGACACAGGAAAUGAGCAGUGUUAACAAAAAUACUCAAAUGAACGAUUUGGGGACUGAUGGAUAUUCAGAACUGGUUUUUAGGGACUUUGGAUGGCUCUAAUGGUGAGCUCAAGGAAAAGUGCUUGGAUGUUGCUCAGAAUAGGAAGAGGACUCUGCUUUAAGCAUCACUACAAACUGACAUGACCGUUAACGUCCUUUUUUUUUUAUGUUUCCUGAAAACGUUUUUGCUCAUACGAGGGCUACUGGAGGGAAAGGGGGACUCGACCCUGUCCCUACUAGCUUGGCAUUAUUGUAAGAUAUAUGGUUUAUGGUUUAGCUGGAAUUGCUCUAUCAAUUCAAAAGUAGAAAAAACUUGCUGGAGAUACUUGAAAUCUAAUGAGUUUAGUAUAGAAGUCUGCAUGGCCAGAGGCAAGGCAUGUCAAAAUGAAAGGUCAAAAGUAGCACGGUUGACCAAGAGUUACAUGUGAUGUGGGAGGUAGAUUUGAUAGGAUUUUUGGUAUCUUUAAUAGGGAGGUUAGGAAAUACUGGAAUACUUGAAAUGGUCAUGGGGAAAUGGUUAAAAUGAGCAGGAAGGCUGACUUAUGACUCUGGAGGUUUUGGAUUAGAUUUGCCCAUUUGAUUUGUCUGUACCAUUAUCUAAAGUAGAUGAUGCAUUCCAUGGAAAUAGCAUUUUUAAAUAAAAUUAGUCUUCGUUUUACUUUUCUUUUUGAAGAUUGGUGGAUCUGUUGUUCACAAAGCUUUUUCUUAGAUUGGCGGGUCCCCCAUACUGGGUAUGGUUGCCAAUAAACAGCAAAGAGCAACUGUUUAUAUCAAAACCACAGUACUCCUCUUCAUCUGGGCAUAAGCGAUGGUCCAAAUCCUUGAGAGAUUGUUUCCAGGGCAUCUCUGUUUGGAAUGGAUCUCAAUUGGCAUUCUACACUAAACUGAUGCAAGGAAGACAGGAUUCAAAUUUUCCAACUGUUAGAAUAAAAAUUUGGUACUGGAGGGUUUUUUUUUUUAUUAUUUUAAAUAAUCAUUAUAGUUUGGGCAGAUAGAUUAAUGUAUGUUCUGAGAGAGUUGGACAUACUCACAACUUAUUCUUGCUUAAAAGCUAGUGAAGAUAGUCAGAUUGUGACACGUGUUCACCAGGUGCCAAUUACACUGGCAGGGUUAGAGAUGGGUGAUACGACUUCCACUACAGAUUGUAUACAAAAAAUAAUUACCAAAGUAUUUAGCCAGCUCAAUUCCUUGUCUGCUCUCAACUUUUGUAUUUACAUUACUUCGGAUAAAAUUAGCAGACUCGAUACAGUGAAUCCAUUUUUUAGGAAGCCUUGUUCAAAUCAUUAUGGAAAUGUAACUUCGCCCACUUUCAAGUCCAUUUAACUGUCUUAGAAAGUUUAGCAAGUUUUGUCGCUAUUAUCCAUAUCUACCUCCUAGGACACCCACAUUAAUAUUGGGGAACUUUUUGGUUACAGAAAAUGCAUGACCAAAUGUGGAUAUUAUAAGAUCAGAUGAAUAUUAGAAAAGAAGGGGAAGUUGAGUCCCAAAUUAAUACUGUGAUUUGGCAAGAUGAUAACAUGGAGCUGAUCUAGAAUAUCAUUUGCAAGUCUGUUUUGUUUGUUUUAAGCUGGCUUUAUGCCUGGGUUAAGGUAGUGACUUUGUUCAAAACGUUUGGCUCAUAGUUUCUGCAUUUGGAAUUGCAUCUUGAGGCUUUUGUAGCCUAGGCUAACUGUAAAGUGAGGUAAUGACAACCAUGUGCUGUCAUAUCUUGGUCUCCAACUUUUAUAGUGAGAUUAAAUAUUCUAGUCUCCAAAUCUAUUUGACCCAAAAAACUGUGCCAUCCAAGCACUUUUAGGCAGCUUAUGAAACGAAGAAUAUUCUUCGGAAAUGAACUCCCGCUUGUUUAGGUUUGAAGCCUAUGUUCUGUUCUAUCUUUGAUCAGAUUUCUUCUUCUCUGCACUCUUAUCUAUUUCUGUGUGUGUGUUUCUGCACACACACAGAGUGACCUGACAGUCAUCUAAUAAUAUCUCUAUCCAACCAAUCUUGCUAUUCCCAAUCACUACAAUUAAGCUUAAAACUCUUAUUCUACCAACAUAAAAUUUCCAUAAAGGUGUAUAUGCUCAAAUACACUAAAUUAGCUACUGAGCUAGCAUAGUUCGGGUGUUGAAGUUAUCGAUCCCAGAUAUUAGUAUAUGGAUAAAUGUCACCGUUGCCAUACACAAAAAAGGUGCCUUUAGCUCGUUUUUAUUGUUUAGCAAAUGUUUGAUACUCUUAAAGAAUCUGGAGUUACUAGUAUUUUGUGUUUAUUCUGUCUUUGCAAAUGAUAGAUUAUGAAGUCAUGGUUCAUGGAAAUUUCAUUGAGGCCACAUCAGGUGAUUUGGUAAAAUAUGAUAGCAAUGAAACGAAUAACAUUGACAACAAUCGACUAGAACUUAACAGCCUUUUCAUUACGAAUGGUGACGAUAUACUUCUAUUGAAAUUUUGCCUAGGUAAAUGCAGCAAGAACAGAAGGUGCUCAUGGUGUUAUGCUUGGACGUGCAGCCUAUAGCAAGUAUGAAGAAGCCGUUUCCCAUAUGCUUCCUAUCUAUGAAAUAUGGAUGCGUUGUUUUUGGUUGAUGAUAGCACUUGAUGAACUCUUGUGGACUUUGUUUCUUCAAUCUAGUCAUUCAAAGCUUCAGUUUUGCAUUUUAAGUAUAAUCUUUUACUUAUGUGACUUGUGUUGCAUGUGUCAUUAGAAUUCUCGAUGAAGAUAUUGAGAGACUCUUAUAGAUCUGGGUACUACAUUUAAUAUGCAUGUGGUUUGUGUCUAUACUUUUGUUUUCCACUUUGCUUGUAAAAAGGGGGUGGAUAUCAAGAAAUGGUUACCUUUUGUUUAGGUAUCAAAUGGCCCAUGCCAGAUCUCGAAUUUUUAAUGACAAUUGUUGGUCACUUUUCACUGCAUAAUUCUGGACCAUGAAUUAAAGAAAAACAGUAGAUGAAGUAUUAUCUAAUGAGAAUUUUUUUUGACAUCUUUCAUUUAUUUGCACUUGAUAUUGUGGUGUGGCCAAUUAGUAGAUUUUCUAAUUUUCACCUGUCAAUAGCAGUGACAAAUCACAUAGGGCUAUCUGCAUUAUAUAUUUUAUCAUGAUUCUCAACUUUUGGAAAUGAUCUUACCUCUUUUUGAGCCAUUCUCUGUCUCUUGCCUGGUUGGCUAAAAACCAAGUUUAAAUCUCUCUCUCUCUCUCUCUGUUGCCUGGUUGACUAAAUAAAAAGUUUAAUUUUUGCAGUCCAUGGCAAACAUUGGGACAUGUAGACAGUUUAGUAUAUGGUGCACCUCGAAGUGAUCUAACCAGGCGUCAGGUUCUAUAGUUGGAUUAUGCAUCAUAUUUUGCCAUUGACUGUGUUCCUAAGUUGUCCAUAUAUUUUUGUUCUAGGUCCUUGAGCAGUACCAGAUAUAUGGUGAUUCAGUCCUUGGCAAAUAUGGGCAAAAACCAAGUGUUCGGGAUGUUGUUAAGGUAUGAAGUCUGCUCAUGUUUCAUCCAAUUAAUGUUUUCAACAUCGGGGUUCUUGCGUUCCGUUUUCUUUUACGAGACAGGUUAUAAUACGUGCAAAAUUGUUGACAUUUUAUUGUUCUCUGAACUUUCUCUGCUUUUGCUUAUCAUCACAUUCCUCUUCUAAUGGGGAUAGGAUGUUGCAUAUGGUCAUUUCUUGCUUGCACUUCACACUCAUAGCACAAAUCGCAGCCUCCAGCUAGUGGGGCCCAAACUAACUGUCCCCAAAUGGACUUUUGCCAUAUCUGGUUGUUUUGUUCAUAUAUCACAGAAACCGCUUAAUCAAAAGUAUCUCUUUAUGCACUUCAUUCAAUUUCCACAAUGUAUCAGUUUCCCCAUCAUUUAAGAACAGAUUUUGAGUUGGUAGCUCUGCCGUGAUUCUAUAGAACAGCUGCUGCAAAGACUAGAUGUCCAAGUUGCCACAUGCUUUGGAUUUGAAACAUUAGAAUUUAGUCUUAUGCUCUUGGCCAAUGACAUGCAACAGGUUUUUAGUUUUUUACUACAUGCAUAAUAUGUUAACAACUCCUUGAAGGCAAUUGUUCAAGUUGUCUCUGAUAGAGUGAUAGAAUGUCGUUAUGGUCCAUAAUGGUUAAUGUGAACCAAUUGGGGUCUUUAUUGUUUAGAAAUUGUAUAAUGAGGAUUCCUGCUCUGGUGUCAAUCGCUUUUCUGGCUGUAAAUAGCAUAAUUGAUUACCUGCCUGUUUAGGGGCAAAAUCAGGGACUAAUGCAUAUUUCCCUGCAAUAGAUGUGAUGUGUGCAAAGCAUGUUCUUCUAUCCUGCACAGUUAAAGGGACAAAAAUCUGAAAGUUAGGUCAUCAUAUUGAUUAAUUUCGUAUGUCAUGCAUAUUAGCUGGAUUUUUUUCCAGCUAAGAAGUGAAAGGCUGUGAGCCUACAGACUGUAAGGUGCAUCUGUUAAAAGUAUAGGUAGGAUUUGCUUCAUUUUAAAUUUGUGGACUAAAAUUAGAUUUUGAGAAUUUAUUGUGACCAGUUUUGCAGUUUUCUUGGUAGAUGAGCUUCAAAUGGCUGGUUAUGGGUGUUAUCAUUGGUAUUGCAUUAUAGCUGGCAAAAAAAGUCAAAUGGGCUUGUUCUCUUUGUCUUGCAAUUUUGAGACUUUGGAAGUCUGUGUGUGUGAUAUGUCAUGUUCUGUUAUGAUUGGCUCAAAUGGGUUUCACAUGCUUUCCAUCCCUUUGCAUAUGUUGUACUUGUUGGGAUCUCCUGAUUUAAUUGUAGUUGCUAAUUUGGUUAGAGAUAUAUUAUCUAUUUCUAUCUUGUUCUCCUCUUACCUAAAUAAAAGUCAAUUUAGCUUAGUGCUCUAUGCCACAAGCUGUCAAAGCAUUUCAAUUGUGUGGAAGACACUUAAAAUGCACGAGGGUCUGCAUAAAUGAGAUUUUCUUGUACAUAUGUAGAAGAAACUCUUUCCAUGUGUUUUUGGUUUUAUGAGUCAAUCAUGGGCUUGUUCUCCAGCCGCUAUUUUGAAAUGAGAGGCUGAAUUUGAGAAGCAGUCUUGGGUUGCUAGUAAAAACAGCUUUUGGCUUAAUAAAACAUACAUGUUUUACAUUUCUUCUAAAAGAUUUUUUGAAUCAACUUACUUUCCAAUUUCAAAUAACCCGAUUAUAGUUUUUUAUAAGCUGUUCCAGACAAGCCUAAAAUGGAAUUGGUACAACAAAUUUUGAGAAAAGCUGAUUUUGAGAAGCAGUCUUGGGAUUGCUUUCAAAAACAUGAAAAAGAUGCACAUUUUAAAUUUUUUCCAAAGAUUUUUGAAAUCAACUUCCCAAGUUCAAAUUACUGAUUAUAGUUACAAGAUGUUUCGAGCAAGCCUAAAAUGAUAUUGGUACCACAAAUUUUGAGCAGCAGUCUUUGGGUUGCUCUCAAAAGCAGCUUUUAGCUUUUUAAAAAAUGAAUAGGAUACAUGUUUAAAUUUUUUCCGAAGAUUUUUGAAAUCAAUUUACUUUGCAAUGUUGAUAAUGUGGUUAUAGUAUUUUAUAAGCUGUUGAGAACAAGCCUAUAUGUAUAUUGGUACCACAACUUGGGUGAUGCUUCCUAUCCCACCACAUGGUCUUGGGGAAUUCAACUAUCUGUUCUGUGUUGCCUGAUUAAUGGUGGAAGUUGAAAGUAAAAUACCAGCUGUUGCUGUCUUAAAACUGCUAACCGAAACUUAUGCAAUUCUUUUGUCUUACUGCAGCCUUUGCUUGGUCUUUUUCAUUCUGAGCCUGGAAAUGCCUUAUGGAAACGCAACGUUGACUCUGCUUUUCAACAUUGCACGGUAUGUUACUAUCAAACAGAAAUAUGUCAAUGACAUUAUUUUUAAGUGUUUGUUUUAUUUUUGUCUUAAUAAAUCUUGGCUACAAUAGGACCAUCAUAUCCACGUUAUCUUAAGCUGUGAAUAUGGACCGUUAGGUGCAAUAGAGAUUUUUUUUUCCUAGUUAAUACUUUUCGUGCAAGGAGUAUUCAGGUAAGAAUAUUUUCUUUCCCAACAUAAAACUGGAAUAAGGAGUUGAAUUAUAGGUAGGAUAACCAAGCAGUUGGCAUACACACGGCAUACUGAAGUGCUAAGUGCAGAGAGAAAGUCAAUCGAGUUGUCAAAAUGGACUAUUUACUCCUGAAAAAAAUAUAGAAAUCAAAAUGUUCCCUUUAGCUUCUAUUUGGAAUUUUCUGUUUCUUGGAGGUUUCCUGUUUCUGUCAUUCCAAAGAUCCCAUAUCCUGCUAAGGGUGCAACCUUUCCUUUCCUGUUUGUCUUUUUCAUAUUCCUCUUUGCCAGCAUAAGAAUAUUUUUUUUUACUGAUCCUGGCUUGUUCCACUUUAUAAUUCAGAGAAGUAAAUAUGAAACACCAACAUUUUUGGGCAGUGUACAGUAGAAAUAUGAUGAGGUCAUAAAGUUUUUUUUUUUUUUUGAGAAUUUGUUCUAGGAUAAUAAUUGUGUUUAUUGUGCAGUGAGGGAUGCUAGCACCCCCUAUACUGUCUUUCCGAACUAACCUUAGUAUGAAUGAGAUAGUGUUACAGUUCUAUUGCAAUUUGAUAAAACACAAAAAUUAUUGCAGGAGGUAUGCAGGAGUAGUUAUAGCUCGCCUCUGAAGUCCAAUUUAAAAACCUAAACAGGUUGAGCUGGUCUUAUUGCUCCAGAAAGACAUGUAAACCAAUAUAGCAUUUAUUGUAUUCAUUUUUAUUUUGACCUCUUGUUCCUGUUGUCGUGUAAAGCCCACGGUUCACAUAUUGCUAAAAAUGCAAGCUUUCAUGUCCGCCUCUUCCUUCUCUAUCACAAGCUUAUACUACCUUACCCUUGCAUGCAUCACCAUGUAGUGCCAAUCAUUUUUAUCUGCACAUUUUGACACUCUUGCUACCUCCUCCCAAGUAUGAUCUACGUAACAAUUUCUUCCUCGUUAGAUGGAAACUCCAGCUGCUAAACUCUUCUCUUCCUUUUUUUCAUAGUUAGGAUGGCAUUAGCAAUGGGGCCUCGAGUGAAGAAAACCAUUUCGUAGGGGCCUGUGUUGCCUUUCAAGGAAACUUUGUUCUCCUUUUAUUACUAAGCUUUGAUACUAGGACUUUGACAAUGAAGUUGCUCCUCUUGCCUUGUUUUAACAUCCAGUUAUAAGUGUGUGGUACUGAUUAACAAUAUUCAUAGAGCUUUACUGGGUGGGACUGAACUGAAUUAACCUUCCAGUCUACAGUCGCUAAUUAUAUUUUGGGUAGUUAUGGUUUCUUAUAUUUUAUGUUCCUGUGUAUUCAAUGGUUUUGGUUUGAGCUCUAUCUGAGAAAUUCAGUCUUUUCCAUUGGCAGCACAGCACAUGAAAAAUCCUGGAAAAUCUGUUGUAAGUGGGUUUUGACCACAACAUUUCUCCUUCCAAAAUUUCACUCUAGCACCAUUACUAACCUAGAAAAGUAUUAUAACAACAAAGGUAUCCUAGCCAGCCAUAAUUCCCUUCGAAAGCCUCAUAUGGGGCUACGGUCUUCAGGCCCUCUACAGGUUAUCCAGUUGCCCAUUUAAGUGCAUAUGUUUAAGCAACUUGGGCCUUGGCAGAUAUCCAUAUUUAUUUUGUUGUUUUUUAUAGCCUAACUUGCAGAAUAUAAGAGCUAGUUGAUAAGAUUUAAUUGUUGCAAUGAAAGAAGAUGAUUUUAAAGAUUACAUAUGCUUGUUCAAUACUUUUCUGCCUAAAAAGCUCUUGCAGUGCUUUCAAUCAUCUUUAGUGGCUACCUUUUUCAUUUCUCCUAAAGAAAAGAAAUAGCAAAAAAGGCAUGGUGAUCUUUCCUCCUUGUACCUUUACUGUUUUCUUUUUGAGUAUACUUAAAUAACUUUAUAAAAGUACUAUUGUUAGCAAGAAAAAACUAUGUCUGGUCACUGUACAGUUUUCUGUUUUCACACAGUUUCUUCUACAUGAGUAUUAACCAAUAGGCUGAUGAGAAUUGAUUUUAUGUUAUCCCCUUGUUGUUGAAGGCAGUUUUAGUAAUGGCAACCUUGUGCUAGUUUUUGAAUGUCGAAUUGGGUUGACUGCCUUAGAACAUCAAUUAGAACCUGAUGUUUAUCAAUGCUGAAACUGCUGAUGUUCUCAAAAUGUUUGUUCCUACAGGCUUAUGCUGCAGUUCAUAGCCUAAAAGAAUAAAGAUAUUAUAAAUGAAAUAAAAUAAGGAUGAGAGAUUAAUCUCAAAACCAAUGUAGUAUAAAUUGGUUUUGAAGGUUGAAAACACUAUCUGUAACAUUCAUUUCUAAAUGCUUUGCUCCAUUGUUUUGUUUGGUUGCUUCACCAUGGGAGUUGAAUUUCAAGUUCUUUUAAAAAAAAGAGUAGGAAAAAUAAUAGACAAAAAUGAUAGAAACAGCGAUUGUUGUCUUCUUGGCUGAAUUUUUGACUGCUCCACAGUCACUUUAAGGAAUAGCAGAUCCUGAAAAUACUAUAUCAUAUUCUAAUCCAUGUGAAACCUGAAUUGCGGUGGUCUGCAGUGGAAUUGGAUGGUAAAUUAGUCCAAAUGUUAAGUUAGCAUAUUUAUGUGCAUUUAUUUUGACUGUCCGAAGACUCUGGUUAUUGUUGGAAGACUUAGCAACAACAAAAUCUUAUUGCUGUACCUCUAAGACAUAAAAAUUGUGAUAACAUGCGUCAUUGUUUAACUACUUUGGGAUGAGAACUCUUUGGUGCAGUAGCUCUUUUCCUCUUCCUUUAUGAUUAGCCACAUAAGAAGGAUAUCCUGUCUGGAGGUUUUCAUAGUACAUGCCUUCUAAGACAUACGUUUUCCUGGCUCUACGCUUGGUUUAGGUUUUGAGAUUGUGUGAAUGGAAGGCUUUUAAUUGAGGUCUUGCUUGGAUGAAGGUAACUACUCUUUACCUUGGGAGAAAACUGAGAGGGAAGUGGAAACUAAAUUGGCAACAUCCUCACAACCUCUAAACCAUCAGAACUGGAAUUUUGGCUAUUGAAUUUAUUUACUAUCAUAUGCACCAGUAUUGAAGAAAGUACGAGUAAUAUGAGAGUGUUGAUAUUUGAUCAAAGUGCAAAACAGUUUGAGACAUUUCUCAUAGAGCUUCUCCAUUCAUGCAAUGUGAUCUUAGAAGCAUCACUAGCUGCAUGUACUCCUAACUAUUUCAGCAAUUUGUGGUUUGAAAAUUCUUUUCUGCCUUUGGAAAUUCUUGCCUGCCCUAUUGGGCAAGGGGCGGUGGUUUAGAGGUAGGGUUUGACCACCACGAUGUAAGAAAAUCCCAUGAUAUAAAUAAAUCUUGUUUUGGGUAAGGUAAAUUUAUUUUUGUUUCAUGUUCUCUCAAAGGUAUCUGCAAAUAUUGUUGACUAUCUUUUUACUAGCCUAAUAUUUGUUUUUGAAGUAGGAGUAUGAAAGAGUUUAAAUGUGCUUGCUUGAUCAAUUGCCUGUUUACUAAGUAUACAAUUUGAGAAAAAAAGAAGGAUAGAGGGAGGGGGAGAGAGAGGGAGGGAGAGAGAGAGAGAGAGAUUUUGCAAUAGAACAAAGCACCAUGAACUAACCAUUAUCUAACUGCCUAUUUCCCAGAAAAAUGCAAAACUGUCUAGCUCCUGGAAACAUUAAUGCAGCAGAUAUAUGGCAUGCAGUAACCAUUUCUUGAACCUCAACAUAGUGCCAAAAUUUGGUGAUUUAAAAUCCAUUAAUAGUGUCCAUAUUGAUGGUCGAUUUGUUCCUUGUUAUUAGCUAGGAAAAAGAUAUUGAAAUCUAUGAAUUUCCAUUCAACUUAAAAGUGCUACUGAGUGCAAAAGCCUGCUCGUCAUAUCCAUGGACUUGAAGUCAGCUGUUCCUGUCUUUCUGUGAUUGUUUCUGCACUUUAAUAUGAUUGUGAUUAGUUUGUUGCAGAAAAUGAUUUAGCAGUUUUGUGCUUCCUACACAUGUUGACAUGAUUAUUUGAAUUUUACAGACUAUAAAAUCCCUUUUGGAGGAGACAUUGGUGGCAAUUCCUGACUUUGUUCUGGAUUCACCUGUUGGUGUGGCACCAUCUGGUUGCACAGAAGCUUUUGCCAAUUCAAAAAGUUUAUUACCUCCUCCAUAUAUAACCACAGAAAAAGAGAUCAUGUAUGCCUAACUUUAAAUGCAUGCAAAACUUCUGAUGUUCGCUAUGUAUUGCAAAGAUAUUCAGUAGUUUCUAUUCUUUGGGAUAUAAAUUGGAUGUCCCGUGUAAAAUCAGGAAAUUUCUUUUUAGGAUACAAGUAGGCUGAAAGGGCUUACAUGCAGACUCUUAGCUACCACUGUUCAGACUAACAAUGUUCUGAGUUAAAGAUUCCACAAAGUUAUUUAUAGAUUUAGGUUCCUUCUCAAGUGCACCAAUCUAUGCCUGUGGCAGAUAUUUUACCUAUAUAGACUCCUUAUGGUGCCCAUUCAAGUUUCCUGUAGUACUCGUAUUUCUGAAUUGGUACUAUGCAACAUGUGUUGAUUCGCCAGUUAUGAAUUUCAGAGAGAUUUGAACGAUGUUAUCAGGUCAAUAUUGCUGCAAACUAUAUAUGUUGGUUGAAAUUAACUUUGUUUUGCUAUAUUACAUGCCACUCCUUUGAGAUCAACUUUUACUUCCGGAAGGGGUACGUGGCAUCACUGUUUCUCUUGUUUGUGAAAUAGCCCUUAAUCAUGCUUAGUCAUGAUCCUGAAUAUAACUGGAGCCCUUAAGCAACAUAUAGUUUGAGACCAUAUCAUCAUUCUGAGCUUGCUUGAUCAAGAUCCUGACUGUACCUUGAGCAUUUGCAAUCUCUUCUCCCUUGCAUAGAGCGUCCGCUAAUGCGUUGAAACUGAAGACUUCUGGAACAGUAUUGAAAGCUGUCAUCUCAGUGAAGAACUUUCCAACCUUCUGCCAUCUCCAACAUCUACGGACUCGGGGCAGGGACGGUUGCACCUGCCAAUUUUAGCUCAUUUCAACUGCGCGUAACAUUGGUUCAACUGCGCGUAACUUUUUUUUCACAGGAUGUAUUUUCACAACAGAUAGUGGUGGGCCCCACACUUGGCGCGGAUUUCGAGUUACAUGGUGUUAUUUCAGCCGCACAAAAUUUUGAGGGCCAAUUUUCAGCCGCACAAAUUUUUAACCGUGCAGGGACGGUCAUACUGAUGACCGUCCCUGCCCCAAAUCCAACAUCUACGUGUAUUGCUCUGUAACCUGUAUACACAAUGACAUCAGGUUUACGAGUCUUUCCUUUCUUUUUCUCUUUACUCUCAACAUUUUGAUGACUGCAUUAGUCUUUCCCUUCCAGUUUUGGUGGGAGGGGUUUUAUGGAUGUAUUAUCUCUAGCCAAGAUGCGUUUGUGAGUAGUGUACUCUAUUAGAUUUGUGUUAGAUAUACAAUUUUGAUUUCUGUUAGUUUUACCAAAACAAACAUUGUUGCUGUAUAUACCCAUUUUUAACUGAGUACCUAUUAUGCCUUGGAGACAUUUUUCUUCAUUAUGUUCUCAAAUCAAGCUUACUAUUGUAUAAUUUAAUCCUAAAAAGCAUUUUCUAUUAGCUGGAAUAGAAGAGUAACGAUGGUUUUUUUUUUUUUGGACUUAUCAUAUUAGUUUGUGAAGCAAAUGGAUUGCCUUGAUUAUUGCAAAAAGGAUAAACUCUGUUAUACUAAUUGUUCCUUUGAAUGUGUUUUGCCUCAUCAUUUCUUUUUCUUUGUUUCAAAAAAUCAACUUCAAACGAGAUCCACUUCUUCAAAAGUGGCGAACAGAUGCAAACUUGAUCUCAAUAUUCAAAUAAACAAAAAAAUUAGAAGGGUGAAUAUGUAAAAAAAAAAUUCAGGCUUUCAAAUCAUGCAAGAUUGAAAGAAACAAGUGAAUUGAGUAAUUUGUGUAACAUUAGCACAUAAACCAAUCUCAUAAAUGAAAAUCAAAUUCAUGCUGUGAAGGCUGUGAAGUAGAAAUCAUGAUGCAUUACAUAUGAAUUAAGUGGAUCUGUGCAUUAAUGUGAAUUUGAAGCUAAUGGAAAUGUUUAGAAACAAAAUUGGAUGUUUUAAGAGUUUGAACUCCAAAAAACCACAAAUGUAAUUUAAUUAAGAAUUAAUCUUUCUUAUAUUAAAGCGGUAAAGGUUUUCUUUUUUAAUCACUAGCCGGUUUUAAUGUAUGAAACUAGUUUUUAUUAAAAUUUAAAAAUUUAUUUUUGCACAUGUGUCAUGUAUCCACAUCUGCUAAUAUAAAUGAACCUUUACGUACACUCAAGAUGUAGAAAACAUUAAUCCAAAAAUUAAUUAAACCUAUUAUAUUACUUAUCAAUUAACCCAUAUGAAAUCAUUUAUUCCGUUACAAAUUAAGUUUGAAUAUCUAAUCCAGCAAUCUUUUUGGACCACUAUAUCACCAAGUAUCAAUAAGGACUCAUUGAGUUACGGUCUAUGUUUUCAGAACCGGACCGAGUAUCGACUCGGUCAACCUCAAGGGUCAGGGGUCAAUGGGUUCAACCGGAUUCGAUAGGCGUUGAAUCGCAUGACGUCAUAAUUAAAAAUUAUUUAAAAAUUAAAAUAUUAUAUGUAAAAUACCUAAUAACAUGUAAAUAUUAAUAAAUGUAUAUUCAUAUAUAUUUGAUGUUUUAAAUAUAUUUAACAAGAAAAUACAAAGAAAUUAGAACAAUCAAGUAACAAUUUAUAUUAUUUAAUGAGUAUUAACAAGUUUAGAAUUAAAAUUAUGGACUUAAUUGAAAAAUAAUACCAAACUUUAAGAAAAUAUUGAUAAAGUAUGAAAUAUUUGAGGUAUAUAAAUAAUUUUUAACAAUCUAGGGAUCAAAACAUAAUAUUGAAAAAGUUUGAGUUUUUUUUUUAAAUGCUAUUUGAACCGGAAAAAUCCGGUUUUUUCCGGUCAAACCCGAUUUUUGACCGAAUUUUUACUUACUCGAUUUUUAAGCAUGAUUCGGACCGGACCGGUUCCCGGUUUGACUGCGCGGUCCGGUCCGAAUUUUAAAACACAGGUUACAGCUCAAUCAUCCUGAAUAGUCUUUCAGAGUUGACCAUCUGAGAAGGGAGCAAUUUGAUCACCAUUUUGGGCGGGCACUGGGCCGGACCGACAGUGGAACCAAUAAUGGGAAAACAGAAUUUGGCAAAAGGAAAUCAUAUUUCAGCUAAGUAAACCACAAUCUGUUCACGUUACCAAUGCUACAUCUUUCAUCUCUCUCACAUGGCAACAUUAACAAAAAGAUUCAAGCAUACUAUUAGGUCACCAUCUACAAUGGUAAAGAAAAAAAAAAAAGAAAGAAAGAAAAAGUCUUACUGGCUCAUCACAAUGUUAAUAAUACACUUGUUCGAGUCUAGCAAGUUUCAUACCUACCAAUUUCUUUUUUCGUAUUCUUGUUCUUUUUUACUGGAGCAGGAGAGGGGUGGAAUUUGUAUUGCAGAAUGUGAUGGUUUGAUGUCAGCUCAGACUGAAUAGAAACAAUUUGUUAGGGAUUAAAAUAUUUGGAAAUAGUUAUGAUGAAUUUUAUUCGAAAGAAACCAAUUAAAAUGAUUAGUACUAAUUUCUUGAUCACUCUUGGGAACAGAUUCUUUGGCUCUAUGAUUAUGUUUUCAUUAAGUAUCUUGUGCUUAAGAAUGAUGGAUUUUUUCUAGUGGCUGUGGAAGAAAUAAGCCGUGUUUUCUUUUGUUGAUCUGCCAUGUAGCUCUUCUGUGCAUAUUUUAUUUGUUUGGUUUUGCUAGUGCAUGCUCUGAUCAGGAAUCGGGUCCUGUGUUACAAAGAGGAUGAUGAUGAUAGCAUGUUUUUGGAUGCUGUUACGGAGAAUCAGUCUUCUUGCUCUUGUCAAAAAUUUAUUUUUGUGUCCUGUGGUGUAGAUUCCAACAAGGCAAUGUAGAAAUAUUUGUAGAAUGAACUUAAUUUAUGCUUUCUGAGUUGGUGCUAUACCAAAUUUAGCUUUAAGUUUAGCUCAGAAAUUAUUAUUCUGCUAUACUGUCUUCACAUGCAUGGAUUUAAGAUGCCAUUUUGUAAGAUGCAAUAAUAGCUGAAAAUUUUCUUUUUUUCUGCAUCUUUAGUAUUGCAUCACUACUUUGGUUAAGAUUUUUUUUUUAAUUGAGAGUUCUUGGUUAGCGGGGCGAAUUUCUCGAAAUAAUGUUAAAACCAAAAAAUAUCACAAAAGUAGUGCUGCACAGGAUAUGUGGAUAAUAUAAGGGUCGAUGCAGGUGGAAAUAUCGGUGCAAAAAAAAAAUCCGAAAUAUUUUUACAUUUAUUUUCAACUGCUUAACAGUUUUUUAAAUUAAGAUUUUCGAUAGAAUUUUUUAUUUUAACCGUAGAUGGACCGUUGAUUAAUAUAUGUCAAAGGUCAUUAUUUGAAGGUGAAGAAAACAAUUUUUCAAAUCCUAUUCCCGCACAUAAAAUUUGUAGUGAAGGAUUUUUUAAUUUUUUAAUGCCGCACAUGGAAAAAAUUUGUGAACCGUUGAUCCACUUAUCAACGGCCCCAUAUCGGCACAAAUUAAAUUUGCGGCAAUAUGAAUAAUUUUUUUAAUUUAGCACAAGUGAAAUUUGUGGACCGGUCGACACAUUUGUGGCGUUAUAAAAUUUUUUUAAUAUUCCGUACAUGCGAAAUUUGUGAACUAUUGAUCCACUUGAUCAAUGGUCCACAAAUUGCCGCAAAUUACAUAUGCGAAGAUCUGAAAUAUAUUUUUUGUGAAACCGCAAAUAUCAUUUGCGACAUUAAUUUUCAAAUUGUUGAUCAAAUCAUGAUCAACGGUCGUAGUUCAUAGGUUUUUUUUCAUUUGCUGCAAAUUUGAUUUGCGGCGAUAGAAAAAUAGUUUUUUUUAAUGCAGCAGCUCUGGACCGUUGAUACAAGAGAUCAACAAUGCCAGCUUCAAUUUUAAAAAAAAAUUUCAGUCAAAGUAGCAUUGCAAAUUCAGUACAAUUAUUGUAUCAAAAUAACUUUCUACAAUUAUUGUAUCAUGCCGACAGUUUUCUAUAAAACUGGCCUUUAUUCACUCAAGUGAGAACCCCAACUUCAGACUAACAUUUCUAUUUUCUUUCUUGCACAAUCCCCAAUCCAAAUCCCUCCUCAUCUUCUCCUCUAUCUUCUCAAAGUAGCCAUUGUUCCGCAGGAAGAUUAUCUCUCAUUAUCCUCUGAUCAGAAAAGUGAUGAAUCGAGUGGCAUUAUCAUUUCAAUGAUGGCAUAGAUUGAAAAAAAUGGUGAAUCGAGUAGCAUUGUCAUUCGAGUGACGAAAAAAGUGGUGGAUCAGAAAAAUAAUUUUUGAAGAAGUGCAGAAUAGUGCUGCCUGUUGUUAUAAAUGUUAGUUUAUUUAAAAGUUUUAUUAGUAAUUAUUUUAUAAUAUUUACAAUUAUUUUAAGCUAUACAUAUUAUGCUGCUGUUUGAUUAUUCAAUCUGAGUGUCAAUAGUCCUUAGUAGAUGAUUAUUUACUAUUUGUUUUUUAGAUUAAAUGUGUAAUUUGUAUUUUGGAAGAUUAUUUAAUCUGUUUAUUUUCAGAGGUAAAAUUCAGGCAAUUGCGCUUUUAUUGCUUUCUCAAUUACCACGACGUCGUCACAGUGUCGGAUGUUAAAGCUCAAUCAAAAGCCUAGCAAUGCCCAAACCCCUUUUUUAAUAUAAUAAUAAAAAAAGAGGCUAUUUUGUAAAAAGCGGGUGAGAUGAUAUUAUUAUUAAUUAUGAACGAUGAUAUUGUUGUUAUUAUUGCAACACUUGAUUAAGUUAAACUUGAUAGUAGUUAUAUUUGAACACAGAAAAGAUAUAUUUUUUAGAGUAAUUAAAUACUACCCCAUUAAGUAAAAAUUUUUGAGCCAUGUAGCAAAUUUUAUUUAGGCAAGUUUAGGGGUAUAAUUUAGUCAAACUAUUUGACUCGAACUUGCACGUAAUUUAAUCAAAGGUUCAACUUCGUUGUUGAUCAAAUAUACUUGGUAUUGAGUCGGAUGUGAAUAGGAAAAUUCAAAUUUUGAAAUUCUUCGUUGACCUUCAUAGAAUAAUUAUUUAAAUAUAAUUUUGAAAUUAUUUUUACAAAAUUACAUUUUGAAAUCAAUAAUGGUUCACACUUUUUUUUUCAACGGCUCAGUUGAAAGGAGGCAGGAGGAAGUAAUUAUCUGAGCCAAAAGUAGGGCAUAUUACAUUAAAAUAUCUGAAAAGGAGAAAAGAACUUCCUAUAGUUCGACGAAUACCUCUGAAAAUAAUUUUCAACAACCGAGCUUCAGAAUUUGCCUCAAAAAUCCCAGUAAUUAGUUCAUUUCAGACCGGAAGACGAUGGCGAUGAUGAUGAUGAAGACGGUGACGAUGCAGAGAAGAGCUUCUUCUGCGGCGAUUGUUUCCAUUGCUCGGUCUCACGGAGCAGCGGCUUCAUUAGGUACUCCUGCUCCUGCAGGUUGUACUACUCUUGCAUCAUUCCUCUCUGCAUUCCCAAACCAUAAACCCCAUU
rnacentral:lncRNA from 1 species